rnacentral:lncRNA from 1 species
CUUAGCUACCCAUGUUUUACGUAACAAUAUAUUUGAGCUUUUCACAUCACGGUGUAUAACUCCAUGCUUAAUUCCUGUACCCGUGUGAAGAUAAUUUAACCCACGAGCUGCCCCUAUGCAUAUAUUGAGUCGUAGCAUCCAAGGUAGAGGAGUUUGAAGUUUGUGGAGAUGAUCUUCAAGGGUUCCAUGGGGCAUAUAAUCAUAAACAAGGAUUCUUUCGGUCCCAUCAUUGCAAUAACCAAUCAAAGACACCAAGUGACAGUGCCUUAACAUAGAAACCAUCUCAACUUCUGCCCAAAACUCUACUACGCCUUGGUUAGAAGUUGAAUCCAACCUCUUGAUGGCAACAAUCAAAAUCCUUGCCUCACUAAUGAUGGUUCCUCUAUAAACUUUUCCAAAAGCCACCAUGGCCGAUCACCAAUGACUCAUCGAAGUUUUGGGUUGCUCGUUUGAAUCUCUGGAAAGGUAAGCUGGCGACAUGGUUCUGGCAAUUCUAAGGUUGAGGAGGACUCAACCUCAUGACUGGUAAACAUAAUUAUAGAUGUGUACUAGGACCAGAUUCUGGUUACUACUUCUAAAUAUAUCAUCAAAAGGGUUGUAGCCAUUCUAAAGUUGAUGACUUAUCUUGACGGUGUGAAAGGAUUCUUAUGCCUUCUUUGUGGUCAAACAGACAUUGAUUUUUCUUCCCUAGAAGAGAAUCUUUUCAUUUAAAAAUAUUAUUCUAGGGGCCUAUAUAACAGUCAUAUAGGUGGUUGAAAACCACGUUUUCUUAGGCAAUUAAGGAAUAAAUUCACAGGAAUUGUUGCGGUUUUCGGGAAUGUGCAACAUGAUAUCACAAACAGCUUUUGUACUAUUGUUAAAGUACAUAUUAUUUGCAGUCUUAAAUUAACUUUGAAAGAUGGAAAAAUAGGUCUCCUAUUAGAGCAUCCAAGAUUGUCAACCUUAUCUACAGUUUUUUCUUUCUCAUUUUUCCACUAGUUUUAUCAAACAAAAACUUAUUACUUUAAACCUCGUUCAGUUAUUGACCACUUCUAAAGGAUUUUUGUAAAAUGUUUUAUAAAACUACGUCUAGUUGUUACUUUUUAAUCGCAUGAAAUAUUUGUAAAAAGAAAAUUUGUAUUUAACAAUAACAUUAAAUAAAAUCAAUAAUUUUACUAUAAAUAAAAUAAAAAUAAGUAGUACUAAAUAUAGAGUUCAUAUUUUGCUUAUUUAAGGCAUACGAGUGAAGUGGGCAGCGUUACAUUUGAUGGGUUUUGAUCACUAUAACUGUAACACCUGUAGAUCAGAGCUAGUCAAUUAAGAGACAAUAAGUGUCGAAAAUGACUUUUUGAUAGAAGAUUAUUUAGAAUGAAUAGUCUUAAUAAAAGCUGUAGUAUAUGUUACAAGGAUUCCAGAUAUAUAAAGAAUGCCGAAAUCUGAGUUAUAACAAAGAAGUUAUGACCUGUCGAAGUUUCGCGACAAAACCGGCACGACACAGCGCGACGUAAACAGUGAGUUUAUGAUAGAGCGAUAUUUGGCUCUAGCGAUCUAAACGAAAGUCGUAGAAUACGUUAAACCGAGAGCGUGUAUAAAGAGAACGCCGAAAUCUGACAUCGUAUGAGGAAGUUAUGAUUUUUCUAAGUUUCAGCUUAGCGGUAUGCAGCCCAAAUCUCGAAUUUGAGAUCGAGUGAUCUUUGGCCAAAACAAUUUAAACGAGAAUCGAAGGUCUUGUCGAUAGUAGUUCAACGGUAAAAACACAGACGAAAACGGACGUCAGAUGAAGAAGUUAUGAAUUUCUAACGGAGUUUUCCUGUCCCGGCUUACUAAAAAUAAUAUAAUAAAAAUAAAGUCUAAAUUAGCCGAUGGAGUCUAAAUGAAAGUUGUAGAGCAUAAUCUCACCUACGCGUGGAUAUAAAGAACGUCAAAAACGAGGAUUGUAUGCGAGAUAUAUGAAUUUAUGAAGUUCGGGGCACAAACUUCCACCACUAUCAGAGUUCACGACGUGAGUAGGGUGUUCAUGACGUGAACGGGUGAUUGACACCUUCCAGAGCAAGUGGACUGAUGACGAAUGCCAUGAACUGAGCAGGACCAAACUCACGACGUGAACAUUUGAGGUUCACGACAUGAAUCCGGAAAUUUGGCCCUAUAAAUAGAAACCUAAGGUCAACCGAAUAUGGUUGCUAAUUCAUCACUCCCUCACUCUGUAUACCCUCUCUGGCCAUCUUGCAGCACCCCCAAAGUCCCGAUAUCAUCCCGACACCCGAAGUAAGUCUUGAAGCCCUAAAGAUCUCGAGAUAAAUAGAUUUCAAUCUGAAGCUCUGCCCGCAAGAAGUCCAGCUUCUGAGAAAACAUCCCGGUUUCAUCAAAGAAUAUUACUUUAAGAGUUGUAGAGUUGUCCGAUCAUCGUCUUAUCAAGUGAGUGUAUAGCCACUUUCAUCUUACACAUAGAUAUGAAGUAUUUUAUAAAAUAUGUGCUAUGUGUAUAAGAUAUAUUAGACAUACCCGAUCCCGGAAUAUGGAUUAGGUAAGGAGGUAAAUUUUAGAUCUGGGAGUACGGAUUAUGUAUUUUUGAACUAUGCGUUCAUCCGAUAAGGUAUCAUGUGCAUAGUCCCUUUCAUGGACAUGAUUUUAAUACAAGUAUUGAUUAAAGUAUUAAAUAUAUAUGUAUGUGAAAUAUUUUUUAUUGCCCGAAAUAUGUGCUAGAUAUAUAUUUGAUGAUACACAACGUGCGAAUCGGUUAUGGUUCAGUAUGUGUUAAGAUGUGUAUAUAUGAUAUUAUUACUUAAAACUUUGUAUUAACUAUACACUAGUUAGCAUUGCCUAAAUAGAGAUAAUAUCGAAAAUUGAUUAUAAGAAUUGUAGGUUUGCCUAGUGAUGGGUUAAGACUUAAAAAAAGGGAUGUUUAGUUCAAUUAAGUUUGGACAUUGGGUAGCCUCUUAUUAAGAGUACGUGUGUGGUGAGAUCGAUGAUUCAAAGCCCUGUGUCUUAGGUGUUGCCUGUGUUGGGGUAUUAUUAUGUUCUCGGGUACGAGUCCUACACAUACCAGAGAACUAUAAUGUGCCAGAAGUUCUAUCAUGUACAUAGUCUUUUUGACACUAUUGUGUGUCGGUUACGGGAGUGUACGGGAGUACUCUAUUAGUAUUUCCCCAUACUUUUUAUUUUAAAAGAGCUUUGGAGUCAUCGUUUCUUUUAUGAAGUGAUCGGACAAGCUUCAUGUGACAGCGUUUCCUUUCAUGAGGUAAUUGAGGGAACUUCGUAGACUGCCUAAUAAAGUGUGUUAGUAAUAGACCACUACUAGGUAUGUAUAGUGUUAUAUUUCCGGAUAGGGUGAGUCUGUGGGUAAAAUAUUGCACGAUAUUCAUACCACUCCUAGGCAAAGUUCAAUGUUGGAUAGGGUGAGUAUGGGGUUAAAAUACCUCACGAUAUUCUGACCAUGACUAGGCAUUGUUAUCUAGAUAACUACCCCUGACUUAAUUGUCUUGUGGUUCUUUUUACGAACGAAGGUUCGUGGUGAAACUUAUUCCAUUCCCCUCAUUUGAUGUCUUUAUUGAUCCUCGUUUGCUGCCAGGGAAUUUCUGAAGCAGCUUCGUCAAUUUGUUGUUCAUAUUGAUUCCUUAGGCUAGAUCUCGUAAGAUCAUUGUAUAGGGUUAGUAUGAGGGGAUCGACGGGAUGGGAUAGAUUGUUUUAGAAAUAUGAUAUAUAUAUAUAUAUAUAUAUAUAUAUGUGUGUGUGUGUGUUAAUAAUAAUAGUGCUUUUGUAGGAUUGAGAUAUACAUUAUUAUCACAUUGUUUGAACUAGGUGUUCAUUAAGUAUUUUCAAACGGAGUGUUUACCAAGUAUAUUGAUUUAAGUGUUCACCAGUUGUAAUUUAAGAACCCUGGCAGCUAUGGACUUAGUGCCUUGUAUAUGUACGGUGGUAGCUAUGGAUUUAGUACCAUAUAGAUGAACAUUGGUAGCUAUGGACUUAGUACCUUGGCAACUAUGCAUUUAGUGCUUAUUAUAUAAACCUUGGUAACUAUGGAUUUAGUGCUUGUUGUAUAAACCUCAGGCAGGGAUGUACUUUGUGCCUAUACUUUAGGUCAAUCCUUAGGAAUGAAGGGUAGAUGAUUCUUAGGGUAGAUCCUUAAGAUUAAAGAAGAUAAUGGGGAUGGGGAAUUAGGUUGAUUGUUUGAUGAUUAAAUAUAAUAAUUAUAUUAUUAUGGGUUGAAAACCCAUAUGCUCACCAGGCUCCCAAGCCUGACCCACUCAGUUUUUCUGUAUUACAGGUAGUGGAACAAGAGCAUAGUUGGACAAUGAUGAUGGAUUUUGGAUUAUAGGCCAGUAGAUAUAAAUAAUUGUUGUAAGGCCUAAAUGAUAUUAUUUAUGCUUUUGGUCUAUAUCGGAACAUGACAUCCUGAUGUUUUGAUAUAUAAUUAAAAUAUAUAUAUAUUUUUUUAAGAAAUGAUUUGAUAAAUUCUUAUCAUAUUUUGUUUUGGGAACAAAUUCCACAACACUUUUUGUGACAACCCGAAAUUUCCAUUCUGUACAACAUACCAAGUCAUUAGAAAGUCAAACGCAUUCCUGCUAUCAUUCAGCCCAAUUUAGAGUCCGUUUGAGAGUUCUGAGCCUUGUACACUUAAGGAAGAAGUGUCGGGGUUUAUCUGCUGAAUUUAUAGCACAAAGCCCGAGCCUUAAGCACAUUAACCAUGAGUUCACGGACACCACAUGGGAGUUUACGGCCGUAAACUCCAUGUGGGCCAUAAACUCACCUUAUAUGGUGAAGAUGGAAGUCAUUUGUUCAUUUCUUUCAUUUCCUUGGCCCAAAUCCUCUCAAGUACUAUCUCGAUCUUCGUCCCCGAUCUUCAAAACUCGUAAGUUUCUUGCCCUAACUAGUUGAUAUCUUAGAUGAUCUAGUAAUCUUACAUGAUUUCAUCCAUGAAAUCAUUCCAUUUUGUAGAUUUUCAAGAUCCACCAAGAACACCAAGAACACACACUCGUGUUCUUGGCCAAUAUCGACCAUUUGAGCUCGUAAAUUGUAAGUACACUUGAUCCAACUCAUUGUACACCAUGUUUACCAUGUUUAGAACUUAGAAAACAUAAGAAAUCAAGAGAUUCAUGGAGUUUACUGCUAAGACAUGUUCUUGGGCCGUAAACCCCUUUUAAUGGUGCAAAUGACACCCUAACACUUAAGUGAGCCUUGGUUACUAGCAUAGAACAUUACCCCUUUGAGUUGAGGACUUCAUUUCACGAAAUGGUACUCCUUACCAUGAGUUUACGACCAUAAACUCAUGGGGGAGUGGUCCCAGGGCUGUGAACACCAUACUAGGUCAUUUUAGGACCUUAAACCCACCCAAACACUUGGUUAAAGCUUUGUAACACUUAACCACUUAAGCCCUAAGAGUUUUAAGCCACUUUUGGUGACCAAUUGAGAGUUUACGGCUAGGAGUUUACUCCCCUGGGCCGUAAACUCCAACACACAUGGUCUUUGGACCAUAAACUCCCGUAUGAGGCUUUGCACUCCUUUGUUGCAACCCGAUAACCUCCUAGCACUUGACCAAAGUGUUUUCCUUGCAAUAGGAUGUUCAUACAUGUUUAAUUAGUGUUAUAAUCACUAAUUGUUUAUAUACAUAUGUCUUCAUAUGUAACUAGGAUCAUUGUGUGUGUCUAAGUCUUCACUUGCCACCAAGCACUUGUCCGACACUUCCUUUCGAUCCGCUCACUGCAGGUGAGUUCAUACCCCUUGAAUUAACCUUUUAAAUGUUUUCAAAUGUUUAUAAAUGCUUUAUGGGGGGAAUACAAGUUGAAUCAUGUUUAGUUAUUAUAUCAAUCACAUGUGAUUAAUAACUAACAUGCAAAUGGCUUUACUUUACGUUAACUGUUUUACCAAUCAGAUUUCUUCAAAUGUUUAUCUCAAACGUUUUUAAGUGUUUACAACACUAAAUUAAACUGCUUGUUAAACACUGUAGGUUUCAUUUCAAACCCUGUUACAUUUGUGUUUCAAACAAAGGUUCCUUUUUACUUAAACUAUUGUUAUCAAACAAAUACUUUCAAACCGUUUUAUAAAUUGACAUCAAGUCGAUCUUUUCUUAGGUAUUAAUCUUUUUCAAAGGUUUUACAAAACUCCUUAUAUGCUUUUAUAUUGUCAAUUGCAUGCCAGUAUAUGUAUAGUUAUAUAAAUAAUUUUUAAAGGACUUAGGAAGGCUAACCCGCUUUAUUUCCUUUUCCCCGUUGGGAUGUGGUCUGGUAGGGUAUCGGGUAUCCUUCCGAAGGUCGUUUAAACUAUCAGUUAUAUAUCAUGUAUACAUAUAGAGACAUAAAAGUUGUCCUCAGUCAGUUCAGUACCUUUGGGUAGCAAAGGCAUUACUUCAGGUUAUACACGUACAUGGUUAUUAACUAUUAUAGGUAUAGUUAGGAGAUACCACUUACCAUUCCAAGUACAAGGAAUCACACAAGAGUCAGUUCAUUCAUGAGUCUAUGCUAGUACCUUACAUGAGUACGUUUACAUAUGCUUACAUGAGUAGGUUUACAUAUACUUACAGGAGUAUGUUUACAUAUGCUUACAUGAGUACGUUUACAUAUGCUUACAUGAGUACGUUUACAUAUACUUACAUGAGUACGUUUACAUAUGCUUACAUGAGUGUGUUUACAUAGAUACACUUACAUGAGUACAUUUACAUAGAUACGCUUACAUGAGUACGUUUACAUGAAUACUUUUACAUGAAUACUUUUACGUAGAUGUUAUAUGAUGGGUUACUAUUACAUAUUACAUGUGUAGAUACUGUUAUAUAUUUCUCCUUCUUAUCUUUAUCUUGUGAUUCAAUCACAUAAUCGACGAGAUAGAUUGGACUUUUUAUCCUAGUACCAAAGGAUACAUUGUGGGACUAACCAUUCCUAUCACCGCUGUUAGCUACAGAGGAUAAUGAACAUCUACAGAUGCUACGGUUAAUACUUAUAUUAGGAGUACCUUUACGGGACUAACCAUUCCUACACCCUGCUGUUAGAUACAGAGGAUAAUGAACAUCUACGGAUGCCUAUGGUUGAUACCAUUACAGGUAUACUUUAAGGGACUAACCAUUCCUACACCCAGCUGUUAGCAACAGAGGUAAAUGUACAUCUAAGGAUGUCUUGAGUUAACAUUGUUAGUUAUCCUAAUACAAAAGGAUAGUACUUAAGUUAUUAUGUUAUUUUCUUCCUUUACUUUGUAACACAUUCACAUGAACGACGAGGUAGGAUAUAUUUGAUAUAGAUAACUAUUUUUCUUAUUACCUUUAUAUUGCGACUUAUACACGUAAACGAUGAGGUAUACUAUAGUUUUAUACUAAUAGUUAAACAGGGAAAAACCAUCACAUUUACAAAGAUACUUACUUUCAAAAUAGUCGGGUCUUGGUAGAAGACUACUUUCAAAACAGUAGGGUCUUGGUAGAAGACUUCUUUUAUAGGGAUCAUAGGGAUUUCUAGGGUUAUUCAAACGCUUUCCAUUACUUAUAAACAUUUACAUACUUAUAUGAGCUUUCUUUCAAAACAAUGUCAAGACUUUUAUUACAAGUUUUACACAUCAAAGACAUAUUAAUACUUAUGAAUUCACCAGCUUUUUGGCUGAUACUCGCUUUCAAAAUAACUUGUAUUCUCAGGUCACAAAUAGACAGGAACGGCAACCAGGUUUGUGAAGACGGAGCUGUCCAGACUUGUCUUAUUCUGAUUAUUCAUUUUAUUGUUGUAUAUUAUGAAAGAACACACUUGUAAUUAAAAUUAUACUAUUAAUGAAAUGGAAGAUGUUGUUGCUUGUUUACUACUUUACAUUGUUGUGAUACAUUACAUGAUGUCCUCCGCCCCAGAACGUUCCCACCGUUCUCGGUUUUGGGGUGUGACACUUUUAAUCAAAGGAUUACUCUGGUUUUAUUUUUAAAAGCAUAAACGAAAUCAGUUUUUUCUGGCUGUGAAAUUAAGGAUGUCACAGUUGGUAUCAGAGCAUUAGUUUAAGCGAACUAGGAAUUUGUAGGAUUUCUAGACUUAAACUUAGAACGCUAAGUGAUGAUUGUGAGAUGAGUGUCUACCAUAUUUUAGACACGGGCACUAGUUUAUUUUAGGAAAGAUGCCUAAAAUGCUUUUAUGAGCUAAAUGUUAUAUGUUUGUCAUAUAUGAUAUUAUUUGUUUGGAUCUAUUGGUUUGUUGCCGACCGAAUCUGGAAACCUUAUGUGUUUAGGAUUCUAAGGGUAUGACUACGAUAUUAGAACUAGCAUGUAAACAUUUUGGAGUGAUAAGGAGAUUUAUAUGUCUAUCAUAAAUAAAGCUUUCCUAUCUUAAAAUUCUCGCCUAAGUACACCAAACGUCUGGUUGGGUGUACAAAACGUUAUGAUGAAGACUCGUUGAGAAUUGAGUAAAUGGAGGAAAUUAAAGGCUUAUGAUAGUGAAUGACACCUAUCGGAAGAUAUCGUAAGAGUGGUAUCUUGCCUUUAGAAUAUGUCUAAUAAAAUAAGGGAGCGUUUAUAGGGUUACAGUGUACACCUUCGAUUGGCAGGAUGAUGGAACGGUUGGUGUAAUUCUUGAAGUUGUCCCAUUGUUUGGAAUUUCCAUCACCAACCGAGUUGAAGUAGAAUUGAUGAGUGAAGAUACGCAUGGAAGAAGUCCUAGUAGAGUAUAGGGAAAUUUUUAUGAUUAAUUGGACACAUUUGUAUGUGUUAAAUUGUUUUGUGAUUUUAGGACUUGGGGACUGCGAGACCAUACUUGAGACGAGUAUGAGUAGGUGUGAAUAGUUGUAGAGAUCUAUACUACUGGAAGCACAGGACUCACACUUGGAUCAGGGAAAGUCACAAGGUUACCAAGAAGCUAGUAAUUGAUUUUGUUUUAUUCAUGUAUGUCGUUACCAUUGUUUCGGUAAUGACUCAGAAGAUGAAUGUUAAUUUGACCUAAGUGGUCAUAUCAAAUUGACUCUGAUUAAGAGGAGUUUGUUACGUUGUUCGGAGAUCUAAGUUCGAUGUAAUAUCUGACUUAAAUCAGAAGAUUGAAAUCAAUGUGAUCGAUAGAAUCGCGCUCAUUGUUAGAGAAAUUGGUAGCUAGAGAUGAUACAUGUUAAAAUGUAAUUAUAUCACAUUAGAACAUAAAGGAAGUUAUAGUUUGUUCUGGAAUUUGACUCUAAGAGACUUGAGUCUAAACGUUGCAUCACACGAUGAUAGGUCAUUAAAAUAUGAUCGAUCCAUGGUAGUAAUAAUAGAACUUGCAUUUAGUUUGUUAAAGAAGAAGAAGGAGUCUCUAGUAAAGAUCAAUAUUGAGACUUGAAGGUCAUAAUUUAGAGUUUAACAUAAGAUAGAAAGCAGGUGUAAGAUUUGAGCAUCGCCUACAGUCUAUCGUUCGAAGAAACAUAUUUAUUACGGUCAUUACUUAGGAUGGAAAGAUAACGUAUGGAAUCAUUAUAACAGACCUAUUUUGUUGAUGAUUUCGGGACCUAAUCAUCCAAAGGGGGAGAUAAUCGUAACGUCCGUAGAUCAGGGCUAGUCAAUUAAGAGACAAUAAGUGUCGAAAAUGACUUUUUAUAAAAGAUUAUUUAGAAUGAAUAGUCUUAAUAAAAGUUGUAGUAUAUGUUACAAGGAUUCCGGAUAUAUAAAGAAUGCCGACAUCCGAGUUAUGACGAAGAAGUUAUGACCUGUCGAAGUUUCACGACAGAACCGGCAUGACACAACGUAACAUAAAUAGUGAAUUUACAAUAGAGUGAUAUUUGGCUCUAGCGAUCUAAACUAAAGUCAUAGAAUACGUUAAACUGAGAGUGUGCAUAAAGAGAACGCCCAAAUCUGACUUUGUAUGAGGAAGUUAUGAUUUUUCUAAGUUUCAGCUUAGCGGUAUACAACCCAAAUCUCGAAUUUGAGAUCGAGUGAUCUUUGGCCAAAACAAUCUAAACGAGAAUCAAAGGUCUCGUGGAUAGUAGUUCAACGGUAAAAAGUCAGACGAAAACGGACGUCAGAUGAAGAAGUUAUGAAUUUCUAACAGAGUUUUCCUGUCCCGACCUACUAAAAAUAAUAUAAUAAAAAUAAGUCAAAAUUAGCCGACGGAGUCUAAACAAAAGUUGUAGAGCAUAAUCUCACUUAUGCGUGGAUAUAAAGAACGUCAAAAACGGAGCUCGUAUGCGAGAUAUAUGAAUUUCUGAAUUUCGGGGCACAAACUUCCACCACUGUCAGAGUUCACGACGUGAACAGGUGAUUGACACAUUCUAGAGCAAGUGGACUAAUGACGAACGCCAUGACCUGAGCAGGACCAAACUCACGACGUGAAUAUUUGAGGUUCACGAUGUGAAUCCAUAAAGUUGGCCCUAUAAAUAGAAACCCAAGGUCAGCCGAAUAUGGUUGCUAAUUCAUCACUCCCUCACUCUCUAUACCCUCUCUGGUCAUCUUGAAGCACCCCCGAAGUCCCGAUAUCAUCCCGAAACCCGAAAUAAGUCUCGAAGCCCCGAAGAUCCUGAGAAAAAGAGUUUUCAAGCCGAAGCUCUGCCCACGAGAAGUCUGGUUUCUGAAAAAACAUCCUGGUUUCAUCGAAGAAUAUUACUUUAAGAGUCGUAGUGCUGUCAGAUCAUCGUCUUAUCAAGUGAGUGUAUAGUCACUUUCAUCUUACGCAUAGAUAUGAAGUAUUUUAUAAAAUACGUGCUAUGUGUGUGUAUAUAUAUACAUAUAUAUCUAUAUAUAUAUAUAUAUAUAUAUGUAUAUAUAUAGGCAUACCUGAUACAUGAAUAUGGAUUAGGUAAGGAGGUAAAUUUUAGAUCCGGGAGUACGGAUUAUGUAUUUUUGAACUAUAUGUUCAUCCGAUAAGGUAUCAUGUGCAUAGUCCCUUUCAUGGACAUGAAUUUUAUACAAGUAUGGAUUAAAGUAUUAAAUAUAUAUGUGUGUGAAAUAUUUGUUAUUGCCCGAAAUAUGUGUUAGAUAUAUAUAUUUGAUGAUAUACAACAUGUGAAUCGGUUAUGAUUCAAUAUGUGUUAAGUAUACAUUAGUUAGCGUUGCCUAAACGAAGAUAAUAUCGAAAAUUGAUUAUAAGCAUUGUUGUAGCACCCGGUUCCUGGUAUGUAUCUCAUUCAAGUUUUCUUUCACAUUUUGGCAUGGACUCGGUGAGUUGAAGGCCCAACUCGUCGAGUAGAAGCGACUUGGACCCAGGGAUUAAGUGGGGGACUCGUCAUGUUGGCAACACGACUCGACGAGUAGACCCUGUCUGGACAAAACCCUAACCCGAGGGUUUACACCCUAUUUAAACGACCUUAUACAGCCUCCAUCGUCCCCUAUGCUAUCAGAACACGUCACAUUAAACCCUAAUCAUCUUUGGUGAAGAUCUAAGGCUUUUUGGUGAUUCUUGGUGGUUUGUGGUGGCAAGAAGGAAAGAAUAGCUUGAGGAACCAAGAGGUGGGCUAGAGGAGUUAAGCUUGUGCAUCAUCUACAGUUCAUGGAAGGUAUAAAGUCGACACCUUGCUUCUUCUUGCAUUAGAUCCCUUUUUGGGGAGAUCUAGGGCUUGUAUAAGCCAUUUUCGGUGACUAACCACAAAUGUAAGCAUGGUUGGGGGUUGAGGCUUCAGAUCCAGGCUCCUUAGGGAGUUGGGAGGCAGAAAGGGACUGCCUUUGCACCCAUGGAAAGCCCCAUGCAACUCAAGAGCUUCUUUUAGGACCAUUUUAGCUCAAAGUCCCAUGCAUACACGUAAAGUUCGUAACUUUACAUGCUAGAUCGAUCUUAGGAGCCUAGAUCUAUCAUUUGGACAAGUGUUGUACAUCAGAAAUCGAGAAAUGAGACUUGGACAACCUCGACUCGGCGAGUUGUUCGUGGGAAUUUGGGAGUCCGAGGCUUGACUCCCCUUUUCUGUUAGGGUUCAAAGGAACUAGUUGAAUGGUAGAAGGGUUUUAGAGGGUCCAAGGGAGUGACCCAAUGUUUUGGACUUAGCCAUAGACCUGGAGUUCAUAGGACUUGACGAGUACAUGAGCAGACUCGGCGAGUCCAAGGCCAUCUCCCAGCAAAUGAAGAUGAACUCGACGAGUUGUUCAUACAAGUCGGUGAGUCAAGGUCAGGACUUGUUCAACAAUUGAAGGUGAACUCGGCGAGUUAUUCAUACAACUCGACGAGUUGGAUGAAGGAUCAUGCGAGGUUCGUAAAGAAGGAGAACUCGUCGAGUCAUUGUUAAACUCAACGAGUAGAAACGUGAAUGACGGCACUUGAAAGGAUAGGGACUCGAUGAGUUGGCGGCCCAACUCGGUGAUUCAGGUCAACUGAAAGUUGACUUUUACUUUGACUUGGUCAGGGGUAUAUCAGUCAUUUACGCUAAGAGUAGUUAUCAGUAUCUGAUUAAGUGUUUUAUAGAUUUAUAGCCGGUGGAUCACCAGAGCAACAGUCAGACAUCUGUCGGUCAGCUUUUCAGCAGUCAGCCUUACGAGGUGAGUUACCUUCCAGUAGCGGUGGGUCUAAGGCACCAAGGCCGGCCCACCAGUAAGAGUCGUAUGUUAGAUGACUCUCUUUGUGAUAUUCAUCUAGGUUUGCUACUACUUGAUAUGUUAUGUGCUAGUAUGAUAUGAUGUUAUAUGUUAGUAGUAGUAAGGGAGACAGUCCCCAAGAUUUCCGGUCGAUAGGGCCAAAGGUGGGGGUAGUCAUACCCAGUCAUACUAGAUAGAAUACGGUUAUGUGUUACAUGUUAUGUGGUAGUGGUAGAGGGGUGAAAUAGUCCCUAGUAUUCGGUCGAGAGGACCGAAGGGGAGGCCAGCACCCAGAUAUGCUAGGCAGUAUCCGGUCGAGAGGACCGAAGGGGAGGCCAGCACCCAGAUAUGCUAGGCUGUAUCUGGUCGAGAGGACCGAAUGGGAGGCCAGCACCUAGAUAUGCUAUGCAGUAUCCGGUCGAGAGGAUCCAAGGGAUAGGUCCGGCACCCAGAAAUGCCUGACAAUAUAUGUAUGUUAUGUGAUUAUAUGGUAUGUGGUAUGUUGGGGGAACUCACUAAGCUUCGUGCUUACGGUUUAUAGUUUUGGUUUCAGGUACCUCUUUAGCAAAGGGGAAGGAGCUGGUGCGGUAGCUACACAUCAUACACACUCUCGUUACCUUCCGCAUUAUGAGAUAUUCUGGGAUUGUACUCUGACAUGAUAUUAUUUUCAGUAUUUGGGUUUUUAGACAUGUUACAUUGUUUAUGAGAUGAUAUGAUUUCACAUUGUUACUUAUAAACGUUUUGCAAAUCCAUUAAUUAAAAAUGAACUUUUUGGACGUGAAAUUUUGGUUGUUACAAGUUGGUAUCAGAGCCCUGGUUUGAGAGAUUCAGACACACCCUCGGGGAUGUCUAGACUCAAACUGAGGGAUUAAAAGAUUUUUACAAAGAAAAUGGUUUUCUAAAAGCUAAGUUAAAAAGUUUUAAGAAAGAACGAUGUUUGUGAUGUGUGCGACGAGCCGAGCUCACGUAAGUUUUUCGCCAAAGUACCGAUACAAGUUUAUGUUAUGGUUAUCAGUUUCAGUAGAACAACAUGCUAUAUUAGGACUAAGGAUCUAGGAAGGAUGCCUUAUGUGCCUAUUAUAUGUGCUUUUAAGCUGCAUGAUAGUGUUGAAUAGACAGAGAUAGGAUAGCCUGCUUAGGUUAUGCCUGAUUACAUGAGCUUAUAUCGCAUGCUAGUACAACUUCCUGUUAUGUGGAUAGAAUUGCUUGAGCUUGUUUCCUUUUUGUCUGAAUGCUGCUUGCUUUGUGCUAUGUAGGGCUCGGAGUGAUGGGAGUUAGAUAUUAGUUGGGUACGUUAGAUCACAUGCUAUCAGGGUUGGAUAAUCUCAGAGUGUUAGAUUUGAGCCUACUGUGUAGCUCUUGUUUGAGUCCUAAUCGUUGUAGGGAUUAGUCCCUUACUCGAUGGAUUAUCUAAGCCUCGUGGCAUGUGAUUGUAUCCAUAUGGUGGCUAAUUGGCAUUGCAAAGAGGCCUUCAACAGCUGAGGACCGGUUUGGUGGAGUUAGAGGUACCCUAGGGCAAGCAUAGGAUGAGAGUAGCAGAGAUCAGUAGUAGUAGUAGAAGGGACUUGGUGGAGUCAAGGCAGUUCUUGAGGAAAGUAAGGAUAGAUGUGGAAGCUAGUAUGGGCCCGUACUACUGAAAUCAGAGGAUCCGUACUUGAGUCGAGGAAGGCUGAGACAAGAGCAGGAAACCUAUAAUAGAUGUGAUCCCUCUAGAUGUAUCAGUAUCACUGAUAGUUGUCAAUAUGUACUGCAGAAUGGUGGUGCUAUGUCCGAGGCCAGUAGUUGGUAGUUCAGGAGAGGGAUCGGGUUUGGGUUAAGGUUCCGAACCAGUGGAUGGGAGGCUACGCGAGUCCAUCGCGUCCUAGAUCACUAGAUGCAUCCUUGAUGCGACCCCGGUCAUCUUUAGGUCGAUCAAGGAAGGGAUUAUCGAGCUGAGGGAGGAUUGCCUCAGGGCGUUCAGGAGUGACAUGGCGACCAGCUAGUCAGGAUCAUGCACACUAUCCUUUAAGGACUUUAGAGGCAGUGGUGCGCCAGAUUUCCAUGGGGCGAAGGACCGAAUUUUGGCCAAGCGGUGGAUUGUAGACAUUGAGUCUACGCAGUUGACCAGCUUCUGCCCCGAGGGGUCGAAGGUGAGAUACGCAGCAGGGUGCUUGAGAGACAGGGCCAGGGAUUGGUGGGAGUCGGUUGGUGACUCUCUGGGAGCCUCGACUAUUGAGGCUAUGGCAUGGUCGGACUUUGUGACUUGGUUCAGGAGUGAGUUCGCGCCAGUUGUGGAGCUUCAGCAGUUGGCCAGGGAGUUUUUUGGAUAUGAGAUAGACUACGGAGACUGUGGCGGAGAUCACCGCCAAGUUCCGGGAUAGGGCGUUGCUGGCGCCCCAGUAUGCAGGAGAUGAGGACAUGAGGAGGCCCCGCUACCAUGACAUGCUGCGAGCCAACGUUCGGGAGCAUGUCAGUUUUUCAGCUUGCCUUACCCUGGAUUCCAUGAUUGUCAGGGAAAGGGAGAAGGAGAUUGACCUGGAGCACAUCCGGAAGAGGAAGCUCGAGGAGGGACAUAUGAUUGGGGCUUCGGGGAACAAGCCCAAGGGAUCAGACGUUGGGCCAAAAGGCCAGCAGGGCUAAGGACGCUGCAGGAAAUGCGGCAAGUCACAUGAGGGAGUGUGCAGGUUGGGAUCGUUGGGCUGCUAUAAGUGCAGCAAGUUGGGGCAUUUCAGCAAGGAUUGUACCGCCCCUGCACCCACUAUUCAGAUAUCUGAGUUGCUAUGUUUCCUUUGCAACCAGAGUGACCAUAAGAAGGCCAAUUGCCCCCAGUUGACAGCAGUAGCGCCAGUGAAGGCGCCAGCCCCAGCGAACCUACGGAUUACUGAUGGCCGGAAGGGCAAGUCAGAGGCUCCAGUGGUCAGGAGUCGGGCCUUCCAGUUGACUACCGAGGAGGCAUGCGCCACACCCGAUGUGGUGACGGGUAUGAUUCUUUUUCUUUGAUUUAUUUAUAUGAUGUUUUUGACAUUGAUAUAUGCUUAUAUAUAUAUAUAUAUAUAUAUGUGUGUGUGUGUGUGUGUGUGUGUGUUUAGGAUCGUUCCAUGUGAACGGUAUACUGGUUCAGGUGUUGUUUGACUCGGGCGCUACCCGAUUGUUUGUAUCUCUUGUGGUUAGCAAGAAGUUUCCUGAGUCCUCGGGCAUGUUGGAUUGCCCUCUAGAGGUCGAGAUUGCGGACGACCGGUCUGUGUGAGCAUCAGAGGUCUUCCGGGGUUGUGUUUUGAGGUUGUUCGAAGAGCGUUAUCUAAUGGAUUUGGUUCCCAAACCGUGAGGGGGAACAAGGUUAUUAUUGGUAUAGAUUAGCUAAGUCCUAACGGAGUAGUGAUUGACUGUGCACAACAGUUGGUUCGGAUCAGGACCCCAGGUGGGGGAGAGCUGGUGAUUCAAGGCGCGAGGCCACAACGAGGACCAGCUUUAUGUUCGGCAUCGAGAGCAAGGCGCUACCUUUAGCAGGGUUGCACAUGAUUUGUCACCUAUGUUACGGAUACCCGGGAGGCGGGUAAGGUAACGGUGGGCGAUGUGCCUGUGGUACGAGAGUUUGCCGAUGUAUUCCUUGAGGAGUUGCUUGGGAUACCUCCGGAGGGGCAGGUUGAGUUCAGGANGUCCCUGGUGCGGCUCCGAUAGCUAAGGCACCGUAUCGGUUGGCUCCUCCUGAGAUUAAGGAGUUGUCUGCACAGUUGCAGGAGCUGUUAGACAAAGGAUUCAUUAGACUGAGCAGUUCACCCUGGGGAGCCCCGAUUCUUUUUGUGAAGAGGAAGGACGGGCCGCAUCGGAUGUGUAUAGAUUAUCGGGAGCUAAAUAAGGUAACGGUGAAGAACCAUUACCCACUCCCAAGGAUUGAUGACCUCUUUGACCAGUUACAUCAGGUGAGGGUCAAAGAGGAGGAUAUACAAAAGACUGCUAUCCGGACAUGUUAUGGCCACUAUGAGUUUGUGGUGAUGCCCUUCGGGCUCACCAAUGCUCCUGCCGCGUUCAUGGAUCUCAUGAACCGCAUAUGUAGACCGAUGUUGGAUCGUUCCAUGAUAGUUUUCAUUGAUGAUAUCUUAGUCUACUCCAAGAUUCAGGAGGAGCAUCUGCGAGAGGUUUUGGAGACCCAGCGGAGGGAGAGCUUGUACGCCAUGUUCUCCAAGUGUGAGUUCUGGUUGCGCGAUGAGCAGUUUGUUGGGCAUCUUGUCAACCAGGACGGUAUUCUGGUCGACCCGGCCAAGGUAGAGUCCAUGAUGAGAUGGGAGGUUCCAAAGUCUCCAUCUGAGAUAUGGAGUUUCCUGGGAUUAGCUGGCUACUAUUUGAGAUUCAUCCAGGAUUUCUCCAAGAUAGACGUACCCUUGACUCGGCUAACGAAGAAGGUCGUAGUCUUUCGCUAGGGGCCUAAGCAGCAGGAAGCCCUGCUAGAGGGCAUAGAGGGUUUUGUUUUAUACUGCGAUGCGUCCAUAUCGAGUUUGGGCGCAGUUCUAAUGCAGAGAGGACAUGUUAAUGCUUACGCUUCGAGGCAGUUAAAGCCUCACGAGGCGAACUACCGAACGCAUGAUUUGGAGUUAGGGGCGGUUGUUUUGCCCUAAAGAUUUGGCGUCAUUACCUCUGUGGGGUUCAUUGUACCAUUUACAUAGACCACAAGAGCCUGAGGUAUCUCAUGGACCAGCCGAAUCUGAACAUGAGGCAACGUCGGUGGUUGGAUGUGGUGAAGGAUUAUGAUUAUGAGAUCCUUUACCAUCCGGGGAAGGCCAAUGUGGUGGCCGAUAUGCUUAGCUACAAGGUAGCGCCGAUCAGGGAUAUCUGCAUGCGGAUGACUGUGGUGACUCCGCUGCUAGAGCAGAUCCGAGAGGCCCAACAAGAGGCUAUAAAGGAGGAACAUCAGAAGAGCGACCGUAUUGUGGGUCAGGUGUCCUCUUUCGACUAUGAUAGCCGAGGGUUGUUGACCCUCCACCAUAGGGUAUGGUUCCCUAUCAUGGAGGUGCACGUCAGAUAUUAAUGGAGGAGGCACACAAAUCCAGGUUUUCUAUCCAUCCCGGGGUGACAGAGAUGUAUAGGGAUCUUCGUCUUGACUAUUGGUGGGUCUGCAUGAAGCAGGAUGUAGCAUGGUAUGUGGAUCGGUGCUUGACCUGUAGGAAGGUUAAGGCCGAACAUCUGAGGCCACACGGCAAGAUGCAGCCGUUGGAUAUUCCCAUGAGGAAAUGGGAAGAUAUCACCAUGGACUUGAUCACCAAACUUCACAGGACCGCACGGGGAGUGGAUUCCAUAUGGGUCAUUGUGGAUUGGUUGAGCAAGAGUGUGCAUUUUAUACCGAUCCAGGAGAGUAUCUCGGCCGAGAAUUUGGUAGACAUUUACAUUCGAGAGGUGUUGACUCGACAUGGAGUGCCAGUCUCCGUGAUUUCCGACAGAGAUAUGCGGUUUACUUCCAGGUUCUGGAAGAAAUUCCACGACGAUUUGGGUACUCGUCUCCAUUUUAGCACCGCAUUUCACCCACAAACGGAUGGUCAGAGCGAGUGAACCAUCCAGACUCUGGAGGAUAUGCUACGGGCAUAUGUGUUGGAUUUCGGUGAUAGCUGGGAUACUCACCUCCCAUUGGCUGAAUUCUCCUACAACAAUAGCUACCAAGCAAGUGUCGAUUGUCCUCCCUUUGAGAUGUUAUAUGGGCAAGGUAGCGUACAAGCUGGAUCUGCCAGCCGGACUCAGUCAGAUCCACAACACUUUCCACACCUCCCAGCUACGGAGGUACCUGGUGUACGACUCAACAGUGGUGCCCCUAGAGGAUAUCCAUGUCGACGACAGCCAGAAUUACAUUGAGCGGCUUGUGGUGAUUCUUGAUCGGAAGUCAAAUGAGAUGAGGAAUAAAAGGAUCGAGCUGGUGAAGGUGCAAUGGAGGCACCGAAAAGGCUCAGAGUGGACGUGGGAGCUGGUGGAUGAGAUGAUGGAGCAUUACCCAGAUCUUUUCCAGGAACGAGCAGCAGACUUCGAGGACGAAGUCUAAAAUAAGUGGGGGAGAUUUGUAGCACCCGGUUACUGGUAUGUAUUUCAUUCAAGUUUUUUUUUCACAUUUUGGCAUGGACUCGGCGAGUUGAAGGCCCAACUUAUCGAGUAGAAGCGACUUGGACCCAUGCUUUAAGUGGCAGACUCAUCGAGUCGGCAACAAGACUCGACGAGUAGAGCGUGUCUGGACAAAACCCUAACCCGAGGGUUUGCACCCUAUUUAAACGACCUUAUACAGCCUCCAUCAUCCCCUAUGCUAUCAGUACACCUUACAUUAAACCCUAAUCAUCUUUGGUGAAGAUCUAAGGGUUUUUGGUGAUUCUUGGUGGUUUAUGGUGGCAAGAAGGAAAGAAUAGCUUGAGGAACCAAGAGGUUGGCCAGAGGAGUCAAGCUUAUGCAUCAUCUACAGUUCUUGGAAGAUAUAAAGUUGACACCUUGCUUCUUCUUGCAUUAGAUCCCUUUUUGGGGAGAUUUAGGGCUUGUAUAAGCCAUUUUUGGUGACCAACCACGAUUGCAAGCAUGGUUGAAGGUUGAGGAUUCAGAUCCAGGCUCCAUAAGGAGUUGGGAGGCAGAAAGGGACUGCCUUUGCACACAUGGAAAUCCCCAUGCAACUCAAGGGCUUCUUUUAGGACCAUUUUAGCUCAAAGUUCCAUGCAUGCACGUAAAGUUCGUACAACUCGGCGAGUCCAAGGACAUCUCCCAGCAAAUGAAGAUGAACUCGACGAGUUGUUCAUACAAAUUGUCGAGUCAAGGUCAUGACUUGUUCAAAAAUUGAAGGUGAACUCGGCGAGUUGUUCAUGCAACUCAACGAGUUGGAUGAAGGAUCAUGCAAGGUUCGUAAAGAAGGAGAACUCGUCGAGUCAUUGCUAAACUCAAUGAGUAGAAGCGUGAAUGACGACAGUUGAAAGGAUAGGUACUCGACGAGUUGGCAGCCCAACUCGGCUAGUCAGGCCAUCUGAAAGUUGACUUUGACUUUGACUUGUUCUGGGGUAAAAUAGUCAUUUACCCUAAGAGUAGUUAUCAUUGUCUGAUUAAGUGUUUUAUGGAUUUAUAGCCGGAGGAUCACUAGAGCAGCAGUCAGACAUCUACCGAUCAUCUUUUCAGGAGUCAACCUUAUGAGGUGAGUUACCUUCCAGUAGCGGUGGAUCAAAGGCACCAAGGCCGGCCCACCAGUAGGAGUCGUAUGUUAGAUGAAUCUCUUUGUGAUAUUCAUCUAGGUUUGCUACUACUUGAUAUGUUAUGUGCUAGUAUGAUAUGAUGUUAUAUGUUAGUAGCAGUAAGGGAGACAGUCCCCAAGAUUUCCGGUUUAUAGGGCCAAAGGGGGGGGGNNNNNNNNNNNNNNNNNNNNNNNGUCAUACCCAGUCAUACUAGAUAGAAUACGGUUAUGUGUUACAUGUUAUGUGGUAGUGGUAGAGGGGUGAAAUAGUCCCCAGUAUCCGGUCGAGAGGACCAAAAGGGAGGCCAACACCCAGAUAUGCUAGGCAGUAUCCGGUCGAGAGGGUCGAAGGGGAGGCUAACACCCAAAUAUGGUAGGUAGUAACCGGUCGAGAGGACCGAAAGGGAGGCCAGCACCCAGAUAUGCUAGGCAGUAUCCGGUCGAGAGGAUCGAAGGGGUAGGUCGGGCACCCAGAUAUGCCUGACAAUAUAUGCAUGUUAUGUGAUUAUAUGGUAUGUGGUAUGUUGGGGGAACUCACUAAGCUUCGUGCUUACGGUUUACAGUUUUGGUUUCAGGUACCUCUUCAGCAAAGUGGAAGGAGCUAGCGCGGUAGCUGCACAUCAUACACACUCUCGUUACCAUCCGCAUUAGGAGAUAUUAUGGGAUUAUACUCUGACAUGAUAUUAUUUUCAGUAUUUGGGUUUUCAGACAUGAUACAUUGUUUAUGAGAUGAUAUGAUUUCACAUUGUUACUUAUAAACGUUUUGCAAAUCCAUUAAUUAAAAAUGAAAUUUUGGAAGUGAAAUUUGGGUUGUUACAAUUCUAGGUUUGCCUAGUGUAAGACUUAAAAAAAGGGAUGUUUAGUUCAAAUAAGUUUGGACAUUGGGUAGCCUCUUAUAAUGAGUACGUGUGUGGUGAGAUCGAUGAUCGGUGGAGUACGUCCUACGUACAAAAGUUCAUUUUACACACGAAUUCCUUUUCAAAUCCGUAUGUCUUAGGUGCUGCUUGUCUUUGGGGUAGUAUUAUCUUCUCGGGAACGAGUGCUACGCAUACCAGAGUACUAUAAUGUGCCAGAAGUACUAUCAUGUAAAAAGUCUUUUUGACACUAUUGUGUGUCGGUUAUGGGAGUGUAUGGGAGUACUCUAUUAGUAUUUCCCCAUAAUUUUUAUUUUGAAAGAGCUUUGGAGUCAUCGUUUCUUUUAUGAAGUGAUCGGACGAGCUUCAUGUGUUAGUGUUUCCUUUCAUGAAGUAAUUGAGGGAACUUCGUAGACUGCCUAAUAAAGUGUGUUGGUAAUAGACCACUACUAGGUAUGUCUGGUGUCAUAUUUCCUAAUAGGGUGAGUAUAGGGGAAAAAUACCUCACGAUAUUCAGACCACAGCUAGGCAAAGUUCGAUGCUAGAUAGGGUGACUCUGGGGGUAAAAUACCUCACGAUAUUCGGACCACGGCUAGGCAUUGUUAUCUAGAUAACUACCCCUGACUUAAUUGUCUUCUGGUUCUUUUUACGAACGAAGGUUCAUGGUGAAAGUUAUUUCAUUCCCCUCAUUUUAUGUCUUUAUUGUUCCUUAUUUGAUGCUAGGGAAUUUCCGAAGCAGCUUCAUCAGUUUGUUGUUCAUAUCGAUUCCUUAGGCUAGAUCUCGUAAGAUCAUUGUAUAGAGUCAGUAUGUGGGGAUCGACGGGAUGUGAUAGAUUGUUUUAGAAAUAUGAUAUAUAUAUAUAUAUAUAUAUGUGUGUGUGUGUGUGUGUGUNNNAUAUAUGUGUGUGUGUGUGUGUGUUAAUAAUAAUAGUGGUUUUGUAGGAUUGAGAUAUACAUUAUUAUCACAUUGUUUGAACUAGGUGGUCGUUAAGUAUUUUCAAACGGAGUGUUUACCAAGUAUUUUGAUUUAAGUGUUCACCAGCUGUAAUUUAAGAACCCUUGUAGCUAUGGACUUAGUGCCUUCUAUAUGUACGCUGGUAGCUAUGGAUUUAGUACCAUAUAGAUGAACAUUGGUAGCUAUGGACUUAGUACCUUUGCAGCUAUGGAUUUAGUGCUUGUUGUAUAAACCUUGACAGCUAUGGAUUUAGUGCUUGUUAUAUAAACCUCAGGCAGUGAUGGACUUCGUGCCUAUUCCUUAGGUCAAUCCUUAGGAAUGAAGGAUAGAUGAUUCUUAGGAUAGAUCCUUAAGAUUAAAGAAGAUAAUGGGGAUGAGAAAUUAGGUUAACUGUUUAAUGAUUAAAUAUAAUAAUUAUAUUAUUAUGGGUUGAAAACCCUAUAUGCUCACCAGGCUCCCAAGCCUGACCCACUCAGUUUAUCUAUAUUAUAGGUUGUGGAACAAGAGCAUAGUUGGACAAUGACGCUGGAUUUUGGAUUAUAGGCCAGUAGAUAUAAAUAACUGUUAUAAGUCCUAAAUGAUAUUAUUUAUGCUUUUGGUCUGUAUUGGAACAUGACAUCCCGAGGUUUUGAUAUAUAAUGAAAAUGUAUAUUUCUUUAAGAAAUUAUUUGAUAAAUUCUUAUCAUAUUUUGUUUUGGGAACAAAUUAUGCAAUACUUUUAAUCAAAGGAUUACUUUGAUUUUAUUUUGAAAAGGAUAAACGGAAUCGGUCUUUUCUGGCCGUGAAAUUAGGGAUGUCACAAUAACAUCCCUAUGAUGCACAUACAACCCUAAUGUUCUGGAUCUAAGUUUUCUCUAGUUAUACAUGCAAUUUCAUUUUUCCAAAGCAUGAAGGAUAACUAGUAUACAACUUUGAUAAUUGAAACAAAAAAAACAAGAUGAUUACCUCUUUGUUGUAGCUUGUAGAACUUGACCUUACAAGAGCUUAGCACCUUAAAUGUGAUGCCCUAAAUGAGUCACAAACACCAAGAACAAUGGGGUUACAUUUAUAGUGUAGAAUUCCAAGGGUCACUUGUAAACCCAAAUUCAUUUACUUAGGCUUUUAGUCCAAUAUCUCAUUUGGACUAACACUUCAUGGACUCUCACAUAAGCUUAGUCCAUUACUAAUCAAUCAUGGAUCAUUAGCCCAAACUAUAUGUAUCAUUGAUUUACAUAAUCAGUCACCGUUAAUUUAAUUAGUCUCUUUUGAUCACUAAAUUAAUUCCAAAUUAAUUCUUAAUCAAUACGAAUUAAAUAAUUUGAUUUCUCAAUUAAUAUAUUAUACUUAUAAUAUAUUAAUAAAUCACAAAUAACCUCUUUCUCAAAUAUCCAUCCUAUCAAAUUGCCCCGGUGAAGGCAACCCAAAUGGACCAUGUUACUAUCGGGUCAAGUACAUACCAAUUAUAGUUAUUGUAUUAGACACCUAGUCCAAUAGUAUCCCACUUGGAUAAGACUAAUAAUUAUAACUGUCAAUGCAACUUCAAAAUCCGAUUAGCAAUCGUAGCUCUAAAAAGUUGUCGUCGAACUCUGACACGUCCUUUAGAUAAAGGAUCAUAUAGUCCUCUGUUCUUCAAGAUAUCGUGUGGAUAAAUACAUGGAACAUAGUCAUACUUAUUGUCCAGUAGUUUGUUUUCCGAUUUCUGAUUUGUUUGACAUAGAACUUAAUUGAACACAUCAAUUUAGUCCUGAUCGGUCCCGACACAUAAGUCAAAACGAAAUCAUCGAGGGGCCUAAGAUAUCGCUUUUAAUCCUCUUAGGAUAAAAGGGACAGAUAAACUUUGACAUAUAUGCCUGUACUAAUUACUCGUUAAAUUAUACACAACAAAACGUUUUAUAACAUCAAGUUACUGAUGUGUUUUUGUACUAUCAAUGCACAACAAACUCGUAAUAAACAACUCAUAUAUCUUGGUUUGAAGACUAUAUGAUAUUAUCAUAUCAAAAUCACUUGUGAUAAAUUCCAUGAAGUGAUUCAUUUGAGCGUGGGUUUAAUCCAAUAUUCAAAUCUUAUUUCAGGAGCACUCGUGAACUUUGUAGCAAACUUUUUCUAUGUCAAAACGCUUUAGACAAUCUACAACUCAAUUCAUGACAGUCUUGCCUCAGUACCUAUUUCCAAAGUAUGAUCAACCAUGGAAAAUUUAAAUAAUCUUAUUAUUCUGGAAGUCAAAACUUGCAAAAUGAAACAAUAGUAAAUGAUUGACACAAGAUAGUAACUUUACUCAUAAAUAAAAUUCCUUUUAUUUAAUCAUCAAAUGUCAAUUAAAUUUUAUCUAUCACAAGUUUCCAAAUAGCUAUCUAAUCACUAAAACUAAUAUCGUCCUUCAGCCCAAUACUCAUAGCAUGCUGCAAGUGCUUAACCCUACUCACUCCUUUUUGUACGGGGGUCCGCUGGGUUCUCUUCUGACGAUACCCUCUUUACUACGAGGAGUCCUUCUUCUACUCGAUGUCUUAUGAAGUGAUAUUUUCUGUCAAUGUGCCUGUAUCUGCCAUGAUCCCUCGGUUCCUUGAUUAAGGCAACCACACCCUCAUUGUCACAGAAAAUCUCCAUAGGUUCCUUUUGUAAUGCCCAUGUGUUUGAGCUAGGCAUUAAUGACGAUGUAAUAGUUUAGGUUAACCUUUGUAACUCAUUUUGAAAUAAUAAGAAUGUAUUAUUUGAGUAUUAUGUGUUUUAUGCUUAAUUGUGUGGCUUAAUUGAAUUAAGAAUAAAAAUAAGCGUAAAAAUAAAUUGUUAGAUAAAACCGAGAUCGAUACAUGAAAACGUAGUGGUCGUGACAAGGAUUUCGGAUAUAUAAACAAUGCCGAAAUCCGAGUUAUAACGAAGAAGUUAUGACCUGUCAAAGUUUCAUGACAAAACCGGUACGACACUACGCGACGUAAAUAGUGAAUUUACGUCAGAGCGAUAUUUAGCUUUAGUGAUCUAAACUAAAGUCGUAGAAUACAUUAAACCGAGAGCAUACAAAAAAAGAAGGUCUAAAUCUGAAUUUGUAUGAGGAAGUUAUGAAUUUCCGAAGUUUUGACUUAGCAGUAUGCAGCCCAAAGUUCGGAUAUGAGAUCGAGUGAUUUCUAGCCGAAACAAUCUAAACGAGAAUCGAAGAUCUCGUCGAUAGUAGUGCAACGGAAGAAAGCCAGACAAAAACAGACGUCAGAUAAAUAAGUUAUGAAUUUUUAACGGAGUUUUCCUGUCUCGGCCGACUAAAAAUAAUAUAAUAAAAAUAAAGUGAAAAUUAGCCGAUGGAGUCUAAAGUUCGAAGCACGCUUCCCAAAGGAGAACUCCCCAUGUUCAUAUGUGGAACGCCCCACGUUCAAAACUUGGCCCCGGAUUGGCCACGUCGAUGUUGAGUCAAACGGAUAAGAGAAAAGACGGAACCCCGCUCCUACGAGCCACGUUCGAAGGGAACGCCCAGUGUUUAGGGAACACCCUGUGUUCCUCUAGGUAACGCCCUGUGUUUGUGCCAGACUUUACUCUAUAAAUAGAACACAAGGGCAUCCAUUUAAGGUUGCUCAAUCUCUUCUCUCUCACCCAUAUUACCUCGAUUUAUGUGCAAUUUAUACCCCCAAAGCCUCGGUAUCAUCCCGAGACCCGAAGUGAGUCCCGAAGCCCCAAAGAUCCUGAGAAACAGAGUUCCCGAGCCGAAACUCUGCCCUUGAGAAACCCAGUUUUCAAAAAAGCAUCCCGGUUUCUCCGAAGAAUACUACUUUUAGAGCUGAAGUGUUGUCCGAUAAUCAUCUUAUCAAGUGAGUGCAUAGCCCCUUUCAUAUACAUGAUUUAAUACAAGUAUCGAUUGAAUGUAUUAGGUAUAUGUUUUAUGUGAGUGUAUUAUUGUUAUCUUCUAAACGCAUAGAUAUGAUUUAUUCUCUAUGAAAUACGUGUUAUGUGUAUAUGUAUCAUCUGUUAUUUGGAUUGAGUAUGAAUGAACAUGUAAUACAAGAUUUAAACUAUGUAUAAAACAAGUAUAUUUUAUCUACAAAUAUGUUGGGUGGAACAUGGGUAUAUAGUGAUGUGUGAUGAAAUAAAAAUGAUGAGAGGCCUCGAUAUCGUUGUUGAUCUAGUCAUUUAGCGGAGUAUGGGUGACGACGAUAGAAUCUUUCUAGACGGUCUAGUGGAACGCUGGCAAGUUCAUACCCUAUAGGUGUUGUGAACGAUGUGUUCACCAGUGUACUCUAUCCCCCUCAUGGUUGCCUUUAGGACAUCUAUUGUUGAGGAAACCCCUUUGCAAUAAUGUCUGUCCCGAUGAAAAUCCUAGAUUAGGUCCCAUGUAAUAGUUGUUGUCAUAGGGACGUAAAGUGAGGAUAACAUGAAUGGGUAAUCGAGUUAUUGUUGGUUGGUUAAAUUAAAUAUAACUAUUUAUUGUGGGUUGAAAACCCUAUAUGCUCACCAGGCCCCCAAGCCUGACCCACUCAGUUUUAUUUGUAUUACAGGUAGUGGCGCGAGAACAUAAGUUGGACAACUUGUGAAUAUAUUUUGUUUAUAGGCUAGUAGUUGUGUAUAAUUGUUGUAAAGCUUAUAAUAUGCCGUUUAUGCUUUUGUGUAUGUAUCGGAACAUGACAUCUCGAGUUUUGAUAUAUAAUGAAAAUACAUUUCUAUAAUGAAUGCUUUGAUAAAUUUUAUUUAUCAGAUUUUGUUUUGGGAACAAAAUUCCAUAACUCUUUUAAAUCAAAGGAUUACUCUAAAAAUUAUUUUAAAAGCAUAAACUAAAUCAGUCUUUUCUGAACGUGAUUUUUGGGAUGUCACAGUUGGUAUCAGAGCAUUAGUUUAAGUGAAGUAGGAAUUUGUAGGAUUUCUAGACUUAAACUUAGAAUGUUAAGUGAAGAUUGUGAGAUGAGUGUCUGUCGUAUUUUAGACACGAGCACUAGUUUAUUUUAGGAAGGUUGCCUAAAAUGCUUUUAUGUGCUAAAUGUUAUAUGAUUGACAUAUAUGAUAUUAUUUGUUCGGAUCUAUGGUUUGUUGCCGACUGGAUCUGAAAACCUCAUGUGUUUAGGAUUCUAAGCGUAGGAUUACGGUAUUAGAACUAGCAUCUAAAUGUUUCAGAGUGAUAAGGAUGAUUUAAUUAUCUAUCGUGAUUGAGGAUCUAAAUUCACCUUAUUCGGUGCAUAGAUCAAAAAUGGUAAGAACCAGAAGUGGCGUUGGAAACGCAGAUAAAAACAGGAAUCAACCACCAGUGAUUGAGCGAUUACAUGUUGUAGCAGCAGCACCUGAGCCAAUGACAAUGGCUGUGGUAUAAUUGAUGAUUCAAACGAUGUUGGAUCAUCAGAUGGAAAAAACGAGACGCCUGCGUCGACAGAAUCGGGAAGAACUUUUAAUGCCGAUUGAACUACCCGAGUUGAAUGAAGGGCAUUCGGAAGGAGGAAACUGCAAUGGAACUGUUGGUCAAGCUAACCUACCAACUGUUAGGCAAAUCAACCAGGAUGAAGGAAAUGAUGGGCGUGGGUGUAAGUACAAGGAUUUCAUGGCAUCCAAGCCACCAUGUAUAUCCGGAAGCCCGAUGCCGGUACAAAUUAUAAACUGGAUCUUUAAAAUGGAGACAAUCUUUGAAAGUUGUGAAUGCAGCAACAAACAGAAGACCUCUCUUGCGACCCCUCUGCUAAAAUCUGGCGUGUUGAGUUGGUGGAAGCUGUUAGCUGACUCUAUGCCCAAGGGAGAAGCAAGCAAAAUGUCUUGGGAAGACUUUGUGGUGCAACUCAAAUUGCAAUACUGCUCCGAGCAGGACCUUCUGGAAAUCAAUAAUGAGUUUUAGAAUUUGAAGAAGGAGAAAAUGAGCGUUACUGAAUACGUUGCUAGUUUCACAGAAAAGAUGAAGCUUAUCCCAUAUUGUGACAAUUAGAAAUUUCUAUCUUAUUCAGUCAUUCAAAUCAAUCAAGUUCAGACUUGUUUUGCUAUCUUCUAGCAUUGUUUAGAGUUAAUUAGAGUAUUCUAAGCCUUGUACCUUCAAAGUCAGGGUUUAGAAAUGGAUUCCACAAGUUCAACACUUCACAAAAUGGCCAAGCACUCCAACAUGAGGAGUGUACGACCAUAUACUUGGGUGUGCGGCCAUACAACCCCCUUUUGGCCGUACACUCUUAUGUAUAAAUGAGAGUCUUAACCUUCAUUCAACUCUUUUCACACUCCUAAGCCAAGAACUCAUUUUCUCUCAACUACCAUCCGAUUUUUCAUCUACUUCUUCAAGAUUGUAAGUGUUUCUUACUUUUUAUUGUUGAUUCCUUUCAUUAUCUUGUAUGGGUCAUUGAUUUCAUCCAUGAAAUCACUUCAUUUUGGUAGAUCAUCAAGUGUUCUUCAGUUUCACUAAGAACACCUACUAAGUUCUUGGACCUCAAACACCCUUAAAGGCUUCUAUAUGGUAAGUACUCCUUCCAAUGCUUGUUACUUACUAUAUGUGUGUCACACCCCCAAACCGGAACGACGGAAACGUUCGGGGGCGGAUGACUUCAUGUGGUAACGUAACAAAUGAAUACAUAGUAAAGAAAGCAAUACAACCAUCAUAUAUAUAAUUGAAAGUUUGCAUUGUUAAAAGGUACGUGUUCAAAACCAAUUACAAUAUGAUGCCAAAAUAUGAAUUUAAACUGGCGCUGCAGCGUCCCUUCUUCAAAAGCUAUUUGUUACCUGUAAUUACUGAAUCCCUGGGACAUACAAGUAGUUUGAAAGAGUAGAUCAGCAUUUAAGCUGGUGAGUUUCAUAAGUAUUAAAUGACAAUGUUUGUAUGAAAUGAAAUGUUUUGUUCUUGUUUGUUUGUUCCUAGAAAAUCCUAUAUUUUCUACUAGCAUAAAUGUAGCCUUCUUCCAAGACCAAUGUUUGUUUCUAGAAAAUGUAUGUACGUAUAAAAUUUCCAAUACGUCUGAAAAACCCCGUAAAUCAAUGUGUUUUUAAUACUCCAUGUGAGUUUUAUAACCAUGCUAUUGACUAGAAACGCCUAUACACAACGUUCUUCAGGCGUUGGAAUGUUCUGACGUUUGUCACCCCAAACGGUGGACUGUAGCUAACAGUCAGGGCGCGGGUUGUCAAGCCCGUAUAGAUCUAUACACAAACACCAUGCUCCCCCUCCAAGGGAUUCUGGUAUAUAAUAUAGGACUUGAAAUGCGUACUCGAACGUACGUGAAGUUGAUGUCUCACAAAACUUAGUAUAAAACAGAUUUACGUGAAAAAAAUGUUCGUUUGUUCUUGUAUAUGAAAGUAAACUUCUUGAAAUAGUGUUUCUAGUAUGUAAAAGUUUGUAAUGCUCUCGUAAAACUAUACCUAUUAUAGUUUUCUAAAAAUGUGUCUCGUUUGCAUAGUAAUCCCUAGUAAAAUGUUCACUUGUUAUGAAAAGUGUAAUUUUUGAUGUAGAAGACAAGUUUGUAAACAAAACAUAUAUAUGUAUAUUUUCGAUGUAGAAGACAAGUUUGUAAACAAAACAUAUAUAUGUAUAUUUUUGAUGUAGAAGACAAGUUUGUAAACAAAACAUAUAUAUGUAUAUGGUUAUAUAUAUGUAUAAAUUUUAAAAGAUGAUUUGGUAUGUUUCGUAAUUGUUGUUCAUAUUCUUACGUUUUUAUUAGAAACUUUGCAUGAAAUAAUCCUUAAGUUUGAUACUAAAGACCUUUUUGUACUUAUCACUUUUGUAAAAAUGGUAAUUAAACAUAUUUAAAUGAUUGUGUUUUAACUUCCUUAAUGUAUAAACAUUGCUCAAAAAUGUUAGAAGGUGUUAAUAAAUCUAUAAACCACUUUUGACAGUUUUACCCUUUACUGUCCCUGUUUUUAGAAAACUCAUAGAAAAAUCAUCGUAAGUCAAAAACUGAAUCCGUCACCUCUGAGAGUUUAUAAAAUGAGUCUACUUUGUUCCUAAUUUUUAUUAUGAUUUUUAGUGGCCUCAAACUAGUGUAAAACUGAGCAUAUUCACAGACUGGUCCGAAAUCACUUCUGAAAUGACAGGCAGUUUUAUAAAAAUCGCCAUAAAUUGUAGAAACAUCAUAUGAACGCGUUCGAGUAGUCCUUAGAAAGGUAUAAACUUGAACUAUUUGCGUAUUGUACAGUUUUGAAAGAUAUUAAGUUUAAGAUGGUCAAAACAGUCCGUGAACAGGACUCAACUUUUCUGUAGAAAGCUGUCAUUUAAAUUUAAGUUAUGUUUAGUGUUCUAACUUGUAUUCCCCCCCUUAAAACUUGAAUAAAACAUGAAAAUGUAGGGGUAUGAACUCACCUUAUGUGAAUACUUGAAGAAUGGAAGGUUGAAGAUGAACUUUUGGUUGUUGGUUUGAUGCUCCAAAACAGCCACUCUUUUGGCUAUGUUGCUGUCACGAAAAUUUCACAGCAAAAGAGCAAGAAAAAGGGUAGUUUACUCACUGUUUUGAAUCAAUAAUUUUGAGUAUCAAAACAAGUAACUUCCAGGGGUAUUUGGUGGUAAAAAUAUCAAGCAAAAGGAAGGUGUAGAUGGGUGAAAUGGUGGCUGAAACACAAAAGGGACAGCAGCCCUUUAGUUCAUGGUUUUGAUGGCUUUGGAAGGAAGUUCUUGUGCUUGAAAAUGAGAUGAAGGUUGAGAGUAAUUCCCUGGAGUAUUUGCUGGUGAAUUGAGGGUAAAAUGAAGAUGAAAUUUCGUGAUUAUGAAGGAGGAAAGGGUGGAAGAGGAUAAGGGGACAAUACCUAGACUAGCUUGUGAUGGGAUGUAAGUUUAAGUGAUGUGAUAUUGUCUAGCCACUUGCUUGGGUGGUUGCUUAGAGAUAGAGUUAGUUAACUAACUAACUACUAGUUAUUUAGUUAGUUAGGAGUUCUAGUUAAGGAGAGGGAAGGUCUUAAUCUCGAAAAUUAGAAGAGGGAUUAAGAAGCAUUCUUAGUAAAAUGUCUUAAGUGAUUAAGCACUUAUUAGUUAAGUUGACACUUAUCUCCACCAAUUCUCUUAUCUUAAUUGAUUUAGACAUCAUAAAACUUACAUGAAAUCACUUUAAGUCAUGAACCAUAACUAGUCAUUCACUAGAUAAUAAUACAUAUAUACAAAUACAUACAUGUAUACUUAGUAUAAAAUAACAAUGUAGUUUUUGUGUAUUUGAACUUUAAUGUUUAUGUUUUAUUCUUCUUAUUCAAAAACACUUAAAUACAUUUUAAUUAUACCUUAUAAUAAUUCAUUUUAUAUUUUAAUUUAUUUAAAUAUAAAAUUUAUUGACCAAUGUAUAAUUUCGUGACAUUUAACCGGUUAACCAUAUCAUUAAACACGUUUUGUCACUUUGGUUCGUAUAUUUGUCAAAUUUAGAUCCUCCACAACUAUUAAGCACACGUUUUACAUAGAACCUAACUUAAUUAUCAACUAGAUACAUGUUUAUACAAAACUUAAGUUUGUUGCAUUCAAAUGAUGUUAUAUGCUAAUUUUCACAAACCGGUGAUGGUUCGUAGUCAUACAUCAUAACUAAUUAGUUACUUGUUUUAUAUUUCACAAGAACUUAUUUAAAUAAAAGAGGUUAAAUUCCUUCAACCAUUCUUGAUAAAAUACUCAUAUUACUUAAUAAUCAAAACAUAGCAUCGUACGAUCGUUCCUAUUUUUACCAAUUGUUACAAUGUGCCCCUUAGAAAUCAUCGAAACCAUGAUCAUCAAGGAGUAUACGGCCGUACACACCCCAUGUGAUCGUACACCCCUUUGUUUAGUGCUUAAUGGCCUCAAACACAUGUUAUAUGCUAGCAAAUGAUCAAGAACAUUUAGAGGAUGCAAGAUAUAGCCUUGAAACACGACUUUUGACCAUUUCUUCAUGGAGUGUACGGCCGUACACUCCCUGGCCAUACACACCAGGCCAUACACCAAAGUAGCCAUACACCUGGUGGCCGUACACACACUUGUAUGGCCGUACACCCGUUAUUUUGCAGUCCUUUGCACUUCUAACACUUCAAAUCAAGUGUUUCCUAAGUCCUAGGGUGUUUUCCCUACAUGAUUAGUUGUAUAAACACUAAUUAUAUCCAUAUAUGUGCCAUUAUAUUCUUAUUAGGAUCCGUUGUGCUCAAUCCUUCAAUUGACACUUAGCAUCCUACAAACCGAUCUUUCAUUCGUAUCACUCACUGCAGGUGAGUUCAUACCCCUUAAUCUACCUUUUAAAUGAUUUUAAAUGCUUUUAUGGAGGGGGGAUACAAGUUGAAAACAUUAUAGUUAUUAUAUCAAUCGCAUGUGAUUAAUAACUAUCAAACAAGUGGAUUUCAUAUACUUCAAAAUUGUUUACUAGACAAACUCUUUAAAACAUUUUAUAAACUGACAUCAAGUCAUCUUUAUUAUUCAAAGGGUUAAAACUCUUUUUUUUUAUGUCAAACUCUUUUAUGCUAAAACUCUUUACUAAAAUCUUAUAAACUUAUAUAUUGUCAAAAUCAUGUCUAUAUAGAUAUAGUUAUAUAAGUAAGGUUGAAAGGACUUAGGACUAAUAACUCGCUUUAUUUCAUGUUCAUUGUUUGGUUGUGGACUCAGAGUAUCCGGUUGUUUGUCCAAGUAUCGUUUGAACCUUAAUUAUCUAUUAUGUAUAUGUAUAUAGAUAUAAAAGCUUUUAUGUUAGUUCAACACUUUUGGGUUGCAAAGGUGCACAAACACACUCAGUCAUUCAAACAACAUUACUAGUAAACUAUAAUAGGUAUAGUUUAGGAGAUUACUACUCACUAUUUCUAGUACAAUGAAACAGACAAGAGUCAGUUCAUUCAUGAGUCAAUACAAACUUACUAUUAUGAGAAACGGAAAGAACAUACUAUGAUGAGAAACUAAGAGAACAUACGCUACAUUAUACAAAGAGAACAUACUAUACACCAGUACAGAGAGAACAUACAAUACACUAGAACAUACUAUACAAACACUAAAUUACUAUAACAUCAAUGUGAGCCACUACUUCAUGACAUGGAAAUCUACUGAUGUGUCACGUUUUGUAACCAGAGUCUCCUGGAGGGAGACCGUGAAUUUGUGUAUAGAUCUAUAUGGGACUGACCAUCCUACACCUUGCUGCUAGCUACAGUAGGACCUGCAGGUCUACGGGUGACGAAUGUCAUACCAUUUUGNNNNNNNNNNNNNNNGCGUCGUGUUUUACUAAGUCGAUCAAGUAUGGUUACAAUCAUAUCACAUUAUACCUUAAUUAACAAUUGGUUUAAGGUAGUUAGUACAACAAUAGUUAUUAUAUACAACACUACAGUACUUUAUUAUUUUUCCCGUUGCAUUCAGAUUGUGAUCUUCUCACAUAAACGGUAAUGUAAAAGUAUAUUAUUGGUCAAUGAUAGUCACACUUGGGAAAAUACACACUUUUACAAGAAAAAAACAUUCAAAACAUUCGGGUCUUGGUAGAAGGCUACAUUUUAGUAGAAAAUAUAGGAUUUUCUAGGAGUAACAACAUUUACAAACACUUUUCAUACUAACAAUGAAACUAAAAUACUUAUAAACUCACCAGCUUAAAUGCUGAUCAUCUCUUUCAAAAUAACUUGUAUUCUCAGGUUAUCAGUACACAGGUACCGAUGCCAGGUUUUGAGAAGAUGGAGCUUUCAAGACUCAUCUUUAUUUUGAGUAUUCAUUUUGGUGUCAUAUAACUAUAUGCAAAACACACUUGUAUUGAAUUAUAUUAUUAAUGCAAUGGAUGAUGUUGUUGCUUGUUUACUAUUAUGCAUUGUUAUGAUACUGUACAUGACGUCCUCCACCCCCGAAUAUUUCCGCCAAUUCGGUUUGGGGGUGUGAUACAUAUUUAGUUCCAACUGAACUCGCUAAGGUCAACAAGUUUUCCCUCGGACUACCAGCACACUAUGGUCCAAUGGUUAAGCAAGCAACCACAUUGAAAGCCGCCAUCUGGGCUGCUAGAAAUGUUGAGACCCAUAUCAGGGAGAAAGGUCUGGAGAGGUCAUAGGGUGGUGAGAAUAGGAAGUUCGACGGACCUUCAUGGUCCAGCGAAAAGGGUAAAUUCUUGAAGUCUAGUUCGAGAGGAGGUGGAGGAGGCGAAGCGAAAUGGUGCGAAAAAUGCAAGAAGAAGCAUCUUGGGAAAUGUGGUGAGGAAGCCACAUGCUUCAAAUGUGGAAAACCAGGGCUCUACGCCAACGAAUGCACCCUUAACAAAAAAAAGUCUGCUAUGGGUGUGGUGAGGAGGGGCACAUCUCGAGGGAUUGUCCGAAAAAGAAUGUGGCAGCAAAGCCUAAUAUUCCACCAAAGACGAAGGCGAGAGCCUUCCAGAUGACACUGGAAGCAGCGCAAGAUGAAGUUGAUGUCGCUUCAGGUACCUUUCUCGUAAACAGAUUGCCUGCCCAAUUUUUAUUUGAUUUUGGAGCUAAAUACUCCGUUAUUUCGCAUGAAUUAGGUAGAAAACUAGCUUUACCUGUCGAUAGACUAGAUAACGCUUUAUUAUUCGAAGUUGCUAGUGGCAAGUUUGUACCUGUUAGCCAUCGUAUCAAAAACAUCUUAAUUGAUUUGAAUGGGAAUAAGUUCCACGAGGAAUUAUUGCCUAUUGAGUUAAAUGGUUUCGACAUCGUGCUUGGAAUGGAUUGGCUUAGUGCCAAUGAUGCCGAGAUAUUAUGCAAGAAGAAGAUAGUCAAAGUAAACCCGCCAGGAAAAGAGUCAUUUAUGAUGUAUGGGGACAAACGCAGAGUAAAUUCUGGAAUCAUUUCUCUAAUGAAAGCAGAAAGUGUUUGGCCAAAGGAUGUACAUCUCUAAUGAAAGCAGAAAGUGUUUGGCCAAAGGAUGUACAUCAUAUUUGGCAUUCGUGAUCGAUGCUAAGAAGGAGAAAAAUGAGAUGUAGAGAAUUCCUAUCGUGUGUGAUUAUCCGAAAGUAUUUCCCGAAGAUCUUCCCGGAUAACCGCCUGAUAGACAAGUGGAGUUCAUAAUAGACUUGUUACUAGGGACGACGCCAAUAGAAAAUGCACCUUACAGACUAGCACCAACGGAGAUGAAGGAGCUGAUGAUGCAACUUCAAGAGUUAUUAGAUAAAGGUUUCAUUAGGCCUAGUUCGUCACCCUAAGGAGCUUCGAUGUUAUUCAUAAAGAAAAAGGAUGGGAGAAUGAGGAUGUGCAUCGAUUACAGAGAGCUGAAGAAGGAAACAAUAAAGAAUAGAUAUAUGUUGCCGAGGAUUGAUGACCUGUUCGAUCAACUACAAGGUUCAAGUUAUUUUUCAAAGAUCGACCUAAGGUCAGGAUAUCAUCAGCUAAAAGUAAGGAAGCAGGAUAUCGAGAAGACUGAAUUCAACACACCAUAUUGACACUACGAGUUUUUGGUGUAAAGGCCCGUUUAUUUAUUAAAUAAAUAAAUUAAUUAAUGAACGAAUUGAAGCCCUAAAAUAAAUAAUUUUAUAGCAAGGUGAUGGUCUCGUAGAGCUAAUCGUCACACUUUAAGAGAUUAGGGAUUAAAAGUGUAAUUUUCAGACUCAGCUUAUAAUUAUUUAUGAAGACAGGGGCUGACGGCUAGCAAUUAGGACUCAAUAUGAAAGGAACUAUGGAACUAAGGGAUAAAAUGUAAAUUCUGAGUUAUAUUGUAAAGAUUUAUGAAAUCGGGGGUUAAUAAGGUAAAUCCUGGAUUAGUUUUGAAAAUAUUUCCAAGGCGGAGGGCUGUUAUGUAAAUAUUGUACUUAAAUUGUAAGGGAUUAUGAUUAUGAGGGUUUACAUGGUAAAUAUCGGCCCUAAUUUGAAAGAAAUGAGGAAAGGAGGGACUAAUGUUGUUAAUAUGGAUGGAAGUUUGUUAGGAGCGGGAUAUAUGAACCCACAUCCCCGAUUGCCCUAACCCUAGAAACGCAUUUCAGCCAUCAACCCGCUACCACCUUAUACCUCCCUCAUCUCCAGCGGCCGUUCCCUCCUUCGUCGAUAUUGCUAACCACCGAUCGAGUGACUCUGGCAACAAGCGUGAAGGACGAGACUGUGGCUGCUGCUGCUAUUUCCCGAAUGCUACUCUUUCUCUCCUUCUCUUUCUUCUGAUUCGAUCCUCGUUGGGCUGCGCCACCGUCACUAAACACCACAUGUGGCUUCAUCGUUGUUGCCGCUGCAAUCGUGGCUCGAGUCGCUGCUCUAGCAAUCGCAAAAUGCCAUCGUGAGCACCGCUGUCGCCGCCGUUUGGCACGUUUUGUUGCUCUGGUCACCAUUUGCCAUCUCUAAAUGUCAUUGUGUUCGUGUGUGGACUGUCGGUCGUGUAGGGUUAUGAAGAACCACCAUGGCAGCCGGCCAUGGUGGCUACUACCGUCCACAGGUCGAUUAUUUGUCGCUGCCAUCUCAGAUUCACUAUUGCCACCGUCGGGAGCCACCAGGUGGGUGGCUGGUGCCUGAACCACUCUUCAAAAUGUGUGUGUGUGUGUGUUUUUUGUGUGUGUGCGUCGUGAGUGGCUUGUUUGGCCGGAAUAUCAAGAACAACCACCGCCACCACCGUGAGGUGGUGGNNNNNNNNNNNNNNNNNNNNNNNNNNNNNNNNNNNNNNNNNNNNNNNNNNNNNNNNNNNNNNNNNNNNNNNNNNNNNNNNNNNNNNNNNNNNNNNNNNNCCACCACCUUAGGGUAGUGGUUGCCGCCUCUUGCCGCCACCGGCCGCUAUGUCGGGUGGCGGUGUGCUUGUCUUGUGAGUUGACUCGAUUGGGAAUGCUUGAAACCCUAAUGGGCCUAAGGAAGCUCAAAUGGGCCCAAUGAAGCUUAAUGGACUCCAAUGGACCCUAAUAAAACCCUAAUGAGCUUAAUGGCAUUCUAGUGGGCUUGAUUGGCCCAAUAAAGCCCUAAAUAACCUAAAAGUCCAACAAAUUAAUAAAUGGGCUAGUAUUUGGGGUUAGAAACCCUAAUGCAAUCAAAACCCUAAUUUUGGGAAAUUAAUCGGGACAUGGGAAUUAUUUAACAACUUGGAAUAUUAAAUAAUAAUUAUUGGCAGAAAUUAAUCUAAGCAAUAUUGGACUUAAUGGAUUAAGUCCUUAAUGGGUUAAGUAGGAAACUUAACCCUAAUCAUCAUUUUAGGAGAAACCCUAAUUUCACUUGGGUUUAUUGUUGGGCCUUUCUAUUAGGCUUCGAUGUUUGGGCUAUUAAAUAGACUAUCCAAGAUCAAGCAAAUGGUCUCGAGUAAUUUAAUGGGCCUAGGGUAAGGCCCAUGUAAGGGGCUUGGGCCCAAUUUGGAAAACUAGGCCAUAAAUGGGCCUUAGUUUGGGCCUUAAUGAGUAUAUGAUGUUGGACCUUAGAAUGAGACCAUGUAUAGGCCUAGGCCUAAUUUGAAAAAUUGGGCCAUGUGUUGGGCUUUGAUUCCUAAUUGACUUUGGGCCUACGGAUUGGGCCUUGGGCUUGAAUAAGCCAAGCUAAGGGUAAUGUAGUAGUUACCCAAAGAAUGUACGUACGGUUAUGUAUUGGGACCCAAUUAAUAAUUGGGUCUUAUUUUCGUGUUGACAGUUCAGGAAUCUGUUAGCCAGCAGCUGGGGUCGAGUCUGCGGGACUUUAGCAAGUGUGGGAUUGUGUCUGCGGGACUUCAACAAGUGUGGGAUUGUGUCUUCGGGACUUCAGCAGUGUGAGGUGAGUUACCUUCCAGUAGCGGUGGGUCUAAGGCCACAAUGUCGGCCCACCAGUAGGAGACGUAUGAUAGAUGAUUGUCUCUGUGAUAUCAUCUAGGUUUGCUACUACCUGAUAUGUUAUAUGCUAGCAUGAUAUGUUAUAUGUGAUAGUAGUAGAGUUCGGUUGUUAGGACCGGAGGGUAGUCAGACAUCCUAGAUACGUCUAACAGUAUGUGAUUUUAUGUUUAUAUGCUAGCAUGGCCUGUUAUAUGAGUUAGAGGUAGUAGGAGGGGAGCAGUCCCCGAGUUCGGUUGUUAGGACCGAAGGGUAGUUCAGACACCCCAGAUAUGUCUGAUAAUAUGUUAUGUUAUGAUAUGUGAUAGUAGUAGUAGUAGGGGGUGAAAUAGUCCCCGAGGUUCGGUCGUUAGGACCGAAUGGUAGUCAGCACCCCAGAAUGGCUUGACAUGGGUAGUCAGCACCCCAGAAUGGCUUGACACGGGUAGGACGGCACCCCAGAAUGGCCGCAUAGGUAGGCCGACACCCCAGAAAGGCCUUACCGGGUAGGUCGGGCACCCCAAAAAUGCCUGGCAGUAUGUAUGUUAUGUGAUUGUGUGGUAUGUGGUAUGAUGGGGGAACUCACUAAGCUUUGUGCUUACGGUUUUCAGUUUUGGUUUCAGGUAGUUCGUUUUCAAAGGGAAGGAGCCGGCUCGAUCGCAGCGCAUCACACUAUGGUUUUCCGCACAUGAGAUCUUUGGGAUUACACUCUGAUAUUGUUUUAUGAUAACACAUUUGAUUAUUUCUACUUUGGUUUUGAACUGACAUGGUAUUACAUAUGUUUUAUUACACUGUUGGUUUUAUAAUGACGUAUUUAAAAAUGAAAUUUUUGGCCUGUAUUUUUGGGAUGUUACAUUUGGUUAUGUCGUUUGGACUAACCAAUCCUCCCGCAACAUUCAUGAAUUUGAUGAACAGGGUUUGUAAACCAUUCCUUCAUAAAUAUGUGAUAGUGUUCAUAGAUGACAUUCUGAUUUACUCGAAAAGCCAAGAGGAGCAUGGCAGACACUUGCGAGAAGUGUUAGAAGUCUUGAAGAAGGAGAAGUUGUAUGCUAAGUUCUCCAAAUGUGAUUUGUGGAUUCGAGAAGUCCAAUUCUUGGGUCACGUGGUCAACCAAGAAGUGAUAAUGGUUGAUCCAGCGAAGAUUGAAGCUUUGAUGAAGUGUGAACAACCAAAAAGUUGCACGGAGAUCCGAAGCUUUCUAGGAUUAGUCGGAUAUUACCGAAGGUUUAUCCAAGGCUUUUCUUCGAUCGCUACUCCAUUAAAAGCUUUAACUCACAAAGAAGCUACUUAUGCUUGGAGUGAUAAGCACAAAGAAGCAUUCGAGUUGCUAAAGAAGAAGCCUUGUGAGGCACCAAUUCUUUCUCUACCUGAUAGAGUUGAAGAAUUCGCUGUUUAUAGCGAUGCAUCUGCUCUUAGGUUGGGGUGUGUUUUGACCCAAAGGGAAAAGGUGAUAGCAUAUGCGUCUCGACGGCUGAAAGAGCAUGAAAAGAACUACGCCACUCAUGAUUUGGAGCUGGCAGUGGUAGUAUUUGCUCUAAAAAUAUGGAGGCAUUACCUCUAUGGCUUAAAGUGCAAACUUUUCACUGAUCACAAGAGUCUCCAAUAUCUCUUUAAUUAGAAAGAAUUGAAUAUGAGGCAACGUCGCUGGCUAGAGUUACUCAAGGACUACGACUGUGAGAUACUUUACCACCCUGGUAAAGCUAAUGUUGUCGCUAAUGCUCUCAGUCGGAAAGUAAAUCUUGAAAGAAAAAUGCCAAGAGCGUUGAUAAUAGAAUUUAUCUCGACAAUUAUGGAGAGUAUAAAGAAAAAUCAAGAGGAAACUUCUGAGAAGAAUGACCGAAAGGGAGAACGUUUGGUCAAAACGUUAGUGUUCGGUACAAACAGUCACGAACUGAAGGUAUUCCAAGAUCGAAUUUGGGUGCCUAAGUCAGGAGGGAUAAGAGAUCUUCUGAUGGAAGAAGCUCACAAAACCAUGUACUCAAUUCAUCCUGGCAGCACUAAAAUGUAUAGGGACCUAAAACCCUACUACGUGGCGGAGUGUGUGACAUGUGCACGGGUAAAGGAACAACAUCAGAAAGCAUACGAUAGUUUAGAUGUUUUACCUGUGCCUAUGGGUAAAUGGGAAGACAUUGUUAUGGAUUUUGUCACUAAAAUGCCCAGAACAAAGAACGGUCACGACAUGAUUUGGGUGGUCGUUGAUCGCUUCACUAAGAGUGCGCAUUUCAUAGCAGCCAAUGAGAAAUGGUAUAUGGAUAAGCUUGCGAUUUCUUACGUGAAGGAAAUUAUGAGGCUUCAUAGUGUUCCGUUAACGAUUAUGUUAGAUCGUGACAUCCAUUUCACCUCGCGAUUUUGGAGAAGUCUACAGGAGGAAUUGGGUACCAAGUUGUGUAUGAGUACAACUUACCAUCCACAGACUGAUGGUCAGAGCGAACGAACGAUACAAGCGCUUGAAGAUAUGCUGAGAGCAUGUACCCUAGAAUUCGAAGGCAACUGGGAUGAACAUUUGCCUUUGGUAGAAUUUUCUUUCAAUAAUAGUUUCCACUCGAGCAUAAAGAUGGCACCUUAUCAAGCUAUGUACGGGCAAAAAUGUUGUAUGCCAUCUUGUUGGCUUGAGGCUGGGGAAAAGCAGUUUAUGGGACCCGAGAUAGUCCAUCAAACUGUUGAAUAGUUGAAAAUAAUUAGGGAGAGAAUGUUAGCAGCUCAGGAUCGUCUAAACAGUUAUGUUGACAACAAGCGAAGACCGAUGACUUUUGAAGUUGGAGAUUCGGUUUUGCUUAAAGUCUCACUGUGGAAGGGACUUAUACGAUUUAGUAAAAGGGGAAAGUUAAGUCCAAGGUUUAUUAGACCGUUUAAAGUUCUUCAGAGGAUUGGGAACCAAGCUUACAACUAGAAGUACACGAAGAACUGAAUGGUAUUCAUAACACUUUCCAUGUGUGUUAUUUGAGGAAGUUAACGGGAGAAGUUCCUGAUCUAAUUCCAAUUUUUGAAUUAAGAAUUAAUGAGAACAAGAGGUUAAUUGAAGAACCAGAGGCAAUUGUUGAUCGAAAGACUAAGAAGUUGCGAUGCAAGAUGGUCGAGUUAGUGCUUGUCCAUUGGAAACAUACGAAUGUGCCAAAUCUCUCCUGGGAGACGGAGAGUGACAUGAUGAGUCGCUAUCCGCAUUUGUUUGUUGAUGUGUGAUUCCGGGGACAGAAUCAUCCUAAGGUGGAGAGAAUUGUAACACCCGUGUUUUUGGGCUAGGCAGUAAUGACGAUCUAAUAGUCUAGGUUAACCUUUAUAACUCAUUUUGAAAUAAUAAGAAUGUAUUAUUUGAGUAUUAUGUGUUUUAUGUUUAAUUGAAUUAAGAAUAAAAAUAAGCGUAAAAAUAAAAUGUUAGAUAAAACCGAUAUCGAUACCUGAAGACGUAGUGGUCGUGACAAGGAUUUCGGAUAUAUAAAGAAUGCUGAAAUCCGAGUUAUAACGAAGAAGUUAUGACAUGUCGAAGUUUCGCGGCAAAACCGGUAUGACACUGCACAACGUAAAUAGUGAAUUUACGUUAGAGCGAUAUUUAGCCUUAGUGAUCUAAACUAAAGUCGUAGAAUACGUUAAACCAAGAGCAUACAUAAAAAGAACGUCUAAAUCUGACUUUGUAUGAGGAAGUUAUGAAUUUCUGAAGUUUCGACUAAGCGGUAUACAACCCAAAGUUCGGAUAUGAGAUCGAGUGAUUUCUAGCCGAAAAAAUCUAAACGAGAAUCGUAGAUCUCGUCGAUAGUAGUGCAACGAAAGAAAGACCGACGAAAACGGACGUCAGAUAAAGAAGUUAUCAAUUUCUAACGGAGUUUUCCUGUCCCGGCCUACUAAAAAUAAUAUAAUAAAAAUAAAGUGAAAAUUAGCCGAUGGAGUCUAAAUGAGAGUUGUAGAGCAUAAUCUCACCUACGCAUGGAUAUAAAGAACGUUGAAAACGGAGAUAGUAUGCGAUAGUUAUGAUUAUCUGAAGUUCAAGGCACGCAUCCCAAAGGGGGAACGCCCUGCGUUCAUAACUUGACCCCAGAUUGGCCACGUCGAUGUUGGUUGGUUAAAUUAAAUAUAACUAUUUAUUGUGGGUUGAAAACCCUAUAUCCUCACCAGGCUCUCAAGCCUGACCCACUCAGUUUUAUUUGUAUUACAGGUAGUGACGCGAGAGCAUAAGUUGGAUAACUUGUGAAGAUAUUUUUUUCAUAGGCUAGUAGUUGUGUAUAACUGUUGUAAGGCUUAUAAUAUGCCGUUUAUGCUUUUGUGUCUGUAUCGGAACAUGACAUCCCGAGUUUUGAUAUAUAAUGAAAAUACAUUUCUUUAAGGAAUACUUUGAUAAAUUUUAUUUAUCAUAUUUUGUUUUGGGAACAAAUUCUGCAACUCUUUUAAAUCAAAGGAUUACUAUGAAAAAUAUUUUAAAAGCAUAAAUUAAAUCAGUCUUUUCUGGCCGUGGGUCUCCGAUGAAGUUCUUUAGCCAUAUUGCCAAUUUUGACGCUUCGCUUGCUGCUAUGUACUCUAGUUCACACAUUAAAUCAGCUACAGUCUCCUGUUUGGAACUAUUCCAUGUUAUUGCUCCUCCAUUUAGGGUAAACACUCAGCCCGACUGAGAGCAAAAAUUAUCUCUGUCGGUCUGAAAAUUGUCAUCACUAUACCCUGUUACUCUCAAGUCAUCACUCCUACUGAGGGUAAGGAUCCAAUCCUUAGUCCUCCAUAGGUACUUAAGAAUGUUCUUUACCACAAUCCGGUGAGCUCUACCAGGAUUCCCCUGAUAUAUGCCAACCAUGCUCAAAGGAAAGGCCACAUCAGGGCGAGUACAUGUCAUAGCAUACAUGAUCGAGCCAACUAUGGAAGCAUAUGGUAUUCGACUCAUUUAUGCUAUUUCGGCAUCUGUACUCAAGAUCUGAGUCUUACUCAAUUUGGUAUUGCUCUGGAUAGGCAAUUCUCCUUUCUUAGAAAUCUCCAUGCUGAAACGUUUCAACACCUUGUCCAAGUAGGUACUUUGAUUAAGUCCUAUUAGUCUUUUUGCUCCUAUUUAUCAAUAUCCUUAUCCCUAGAAUGUAAGCAGCUUCCCGGAGGUCCUUCAUAGCGAAACACUUCCCAAGCUAGGACUUAACCUCCUGCAAGGUUGGGACGUCAUUUCCUACGAGUAGUAUGUCAUGUACAUACAAUACCAAAAAGCUAACUAUACUCCCACUAGACUUGACAUACACACUGGACUCAUCCUCACUUCUCGAAAAUCCAAACUCUUUGACUUUCUCAUCGAAACAAAGAUUUCAUCUACGAGAUACUUGUUUCAAUGCAUAAAUGGAGUUCUCAAGCUCGCACACUCUAGUAGGGUAAUUUGCAUUAAUGAAACCCUCUGGCUGACUCAUGUAAACAUCUUCAGCCAACUUUCCAUUAAGCAUAACCCUUAUAGAUUUGAUCUUCGCUACUGGUGAGAAGGUAUCAUCAUAGUCAACUCCAGGAGUUUGAGUAAAGCCUUUCGCAACCAAUCGCGCCUUUUAUGUGUGUACUUUCCCAUCCAUGUCGGACUUCUUAUUGAAGAUCCACUUGCACCCGACUGUCUUGCGACCCGGUACAUUGUCAACCAAGUUCCAAACUUGAUUAUCAUACAUGGACUGAAUUUCGCUAUCCAUAGCCUCCUUCCAUUUUGAAGACUCGGGGCCCGCCAUGGCUUCCUUGUAGUUGUUAGGUUCAUUCAAAUUUAUCAAUGUACUAUCAUUGAUAAGCAUAUCACCAUCUGUAAUAAUAUGGAAACCAUAAAACUCAGGUGCCAUUCUAACUCUAAUGGAACAUCUCAGAGGUAAGGACUCGUCAACUGAUUCAACAAGAGUUUCCUCCUAGGGUUGAGCGCUAGUUUUUGAGGUUCCUGCAUCACAUAACUCUUGAAGCUCUUCAAGGUCAAUUUGCCUCCCACUGUCCUCUUGGCAUAUGAGUUCUCUUUCAUGGAAAACCCCUCUCCUCGCAACAAAGACAACAUUGUCACUCGGUCUAUGGAAGAGAUAUCCAAAAGAUUUCUGUGGGUACCCGAUGAAAAUACAAUGCUUACUAUAAGGUUCGAGCUUUUCUUUAGUCUCUCGUCUUACAAAAGCCUCGCAACCCCAAACCCUGAUGUGUGCAAACGAGGGAACCUUCCUUAUCCACAUUUCAUGAGGUGUUUUGGCAACCUUCUUAGUUGGGACUAGAUUAAGGAUAUGGGCGGCAGUCUAUAAGGCAUACCCCUAGAAUGAGAUAGGUAAUGAAGCUCAACUCAUCAUGGAACGAACCAUGUCCAACAAGGUUCGAUUGCGCCACUCAGGCACACCAUUCACCUGCGUCGUCCGUGGCAGCGUCAAUUGUGAAAUGAUUCCACAUUCCUUAUGAUAGUCGUGGAACUCGAUACUAAGAUACUCACCACCUCGAUCGGAUCGGAGCACCUUUAUCUUCUUGCCUAAUUGAUUCACCUCUUCUUGCUUAAACUCUUUGAACUUUUCAAAGGUUUCUGACUUAUGUUUGAUUAAGUAGAUAUACCCCAUAUAUGCUAUAAUCAUCGGUAAAAGUCACAUACAAGAGAUUAGCAUCCCUUGUGGUGGAUCUGAAGGGCCCACAUACAUCGGUGUGUAUGAGAUCAAACAAACUCUCACCUCUUUCACAAGUACCAGUGAAAGGUGUCUUAGUCAUCUUUCCUAGCAAACAAGAUUCGCACAUGUCAAACGACUUUAAGUCAAAUGACUCCAACACUCCAUCCUUUUGGAGUUGGGCUAUGCACUUCUUGUUGACAUGUCCAAGACGAUAAUGCCACAAGCAUGCUUUGUCCAAACCAUUGGACGAAUCAAUAUGCCAUACAUUAUUUCCUAAGUUCUCUACAACCAUCACAAUUUCAUAUAUACCAUUACAAGGCAAUGCUUCAAAAUAAAAAAUCCCAUUAUAAAAAGCAUUUAUAGAACCAGUUUCAUUAUUAAAUGAAAACCUAAAACCUUGUUUAUACAAACCAUGAAAAGAAAUAAUGUUUCUCACCAUAUCUGACGAGUAGCAACAAUUAUUCAAAUCUAAGUGUAACGCCCCGUUUCUGGUACAUAUUUGAUCUACUUUUAUAUCAUUUGUUUCUGGUACAUAUUUGAUUCCGCGCUUGGACUCGACGAGUAGGCCGGUUUGGAUGAAAUCCUAAUUAAAGGGUUUGCACCCUAUUUAAACAACAUUAUGAGCUUCAAGUCCAGCCUCCAUCACCUCCAGGGCAUUUCUUUACAAACCCUAAUUUCCUUUUGGCAAUCUUGAGCUAUCUUAGUGACUCGGAGGGUUUUUGGUGCAUUGUGUAUCUAGUGGAAGAUUUGGAAGGAAGAAGGAUCAAGGGAGAAGGACUAGAUACAGGAGCAACAUCAGUUUCUCUUUACCUUCAUGUAAUCAAGCUCAAAACUUGACUUGUGGUUUUAUAGAUUUUCUGCUUUGCCCCUUUAUGGAGUUUUGGGGUCAAUAAGCUUGAUCCUUAAGACUUGGACAUCCCAAGUCGAUUCACCUUUAGAUCUAGACUCUAGAACCAAGUUCUUCGCAUAAAGAUGCAAGCUUUAUGGCCAUAUUAGCCCAUGCACCCCUUUAGACCUCAUUUUGGGUCCUUAAAGCUUACACUUCCAUGCAUGCACGUUAAGUUCAUAACCUUACAUGCUAGAUCGAUCUUAGAAGCCCAGAUCUAUCUUUUGGAUAAGAGUUGUACUCUAGAAAUCGAGAUAAUAGACUUGGACAAUAGGUGACUCGACGAGUUGUUCUUGGAACUCGGUGAGUCGAGGCUUCAGUCCCCAAUUUGUUGUGGUUCAAAGGGACCUAACUAAGUGAUAACAAGCAUUUAGACGAGUCCAGAUGAGUGAUUCGACAUGUUAAGAUAUAGCCUCAAUCUGGAAAUCAUGGGACUCGACGAGUGUUAGAACACACUCGGCGAGUCCAAGGCAAUCUCCUUAACCAUAAGAACAGACUCGACGAGUUGUUCAUACAACUCAGCGAGUCAUAGUCUGGACGUGUGCAUAUGGUGAAGAUGAACUCGACGAGUUGUUCAUACAAGUCGACAAAUCGGAUGAAGAUUGACUCGAGGAAUUAUAGAAGGAUAACUCGUCGGGUAUUUGCUAAGCUUGACGAGUAGAACCGGGUAAGGGUCAGAAGAAAGGAUAAGGACUCGGUGAGUUGGCAGCCAACUCGGCGAUUCGGGACCCGUGGAAGUUGACUUUGACCAGGGGUAAAAUAGUCACUUUACCCUAGGAUUGGUUAUCAGUAUUUGAUUAAGUGUCUUUGUGGGAAUUAUAGUCGGGGAGUUACUGAAGCAGCAGACAGACAGUUCCCGAUCAACAUUUCCGCAGUUAGCCUUACGAGGUGGGUUUCCUUCCAGUAGGAACGGGUCUACGGCUAUAAUGUCGGCCCAUUUAGAUAGCAGUAGUUUAGUAUGCUUGAUGUCUUUGUGAUUUAGGCAUGUCUAUGUGUUAUGUGUUUCGGGUUGCGGUCUGAUGUAGUAUGCAGUACAUGUGCUAUUGUUAUAUGCUAUGAUUAUGUUAUGUUAUGUUUAGACAGUUCCGGACUCCGGUCCGAUGCGGUGGGCAAGGCCCUAGUUAGUUCCGGACUUCAUUCCGAUGCAGUGGGCAAGGCCCUAGUUAGUUCCAGACUUCGGUCCGAUGCAGUGGGCAAGGCCCUAGUUAGUUGCGUACUUUGGUCCGAUGCAGUGGGCAAGGCCCAAGUCAGUUCUGAACUUCGGUCUGAUGCAGAGGGCGAGGCCCUAAUCAGUUCCAGACUUCAGUAUGAUGCAGUGGGCAAGGCCCAGUAUGUGCUUUAUUUGUUAUUGCAUGGUAUGUGGUAGUUUGGGGGAGCUCACUAAGCUUCAUGCUUCUAGUUUUCGGUUUUGGUUUCUGGUACUUUAGCUAGCAAGGGGAAGUGCUCAGGUUGAUGGCAUGGCACACAACACAGUUUAACCUGGGAGUUAGACUCUGAUAUUUUGGCACCAUCAUGACAUCAGAUUUGAUUUGAUACAUUUAUUGUAACAUAUUGAGAUACACGGCUUAUGGUUUUGUUAUAUGAAAUUUGGAUAUUAUGCUUUUAGUAAUGUUUUCAAAUUAAAUUUUUGGCUUGUAUUUUUAGGUUGUUACAAGUUGGUAUCAGAGCGUUAGUUUGAGGGAUUCGGGCACACUCUUGGGUGUGUCUGAACUCAAACUAAGGAAAUGGUAUAAGGUUUUCAAAAGAAAAACAUUUUCGAAAGAAACUUUUGAAAAAGAAACUUAAAAGAAAAGAGUUUUUGAAAAAGAUAAAGAAGAGGUGUGGUGCAUGCGAUCGACCGAGCUCAAGUAAGUACUCCCAAAUUACCAAUACAAGACGUUUAUGUUAUGAUUAUCAGUUUCAGUAGAACAGCAUGCUAGAAUAGGACUAAGGAUCUAGGACGGAUGCAUUAUAUGCCCGCUAUAUGUGUUUAAGCUUUAUGAGAAUUGCAUGACUAGUAUCGACUAAAUAGUAGUAGGAUAGCCUGUUUAGGUUAUGCCUGAUAGUAUGAGCUUAGAAUCUUAUGGUAGUACAGAUUCUUGUUAGAAUAGAAUUGCUUGGAUUAGAUUUCCCUUUUUGUCUGAGUGCUACUUGCUUGGUGCCUUGUGGGACUCUGAGUGAUCGGAGUUGGCCAUUAUGUAAAUACGUCACGCCACAUGUGAUCAGGGUUGAAUAAUCUCAGAGGGCUGGAUUUGGCCCUAUUGCACAGCUCUCGUUUGAGUCUAACCAUUGUAAGGACGAGUCCUUUACUCGAAGGAUUAUCCGAGCCUUGUCACAUGUGAUGGUAUUCAGGUAGUGGCUAAUUGGCAUUACAAAGAUUCCUUUAGUAGCUGAGGAUUGGGUGCGGGUUGGAGGGUCCCUAGGGCAAGCCUAGGAUGAGAGUAGCCAAGAAUAGUAGUAGUAGAAGGGACUUGGUGGAGUCAAGGCAAUUCUUGAGGAAAGUACAGAUAGAUGUGGAAGGUAGUAUGGGCCGGUACUAUUGAAAGCAGAGGAUCCGUACUCGAAUCAAGGAGGGCUGAGAUAAGAUCAGGGAAAUCGUAGUAGAUAUGAUCCCUCGAGAUAUAAUUCUAUUCUGAUGUUGUCGUUAUGUGUUUUCAGAAUGGUAGUCUUGCACCCUAGACCAGCAGUCGGCAGUUCUGGUGCCGGAGAGGGAUCAGGUUCAGGCUCGGGGGUCGAGCAUUUGGAUGAGCAGACUAGGGAGUUCAUUUCCUCAAACAUCACAUGCAACAUACUUGAGCAGACUCCUGUGAUCUUUGGUUCGAUCAAGGAGGGUAUUUUUGAGUACGUUCCGAGCUGAGGUAGCGGCCAUGAUGGGGUCGCGCACGCUCACAUUCAGGGAGUUAAGGGCUUAUGGAGCUCCAGAUUACCAGGGGCCCGAGACCCCAUUGUGAGUACCAGAUGGUUGGCUAAUGUGGCUAAUGCUUUCCACACUACCAGAUGUCCCGAGGGGGACAAGGUCCGACUUGCAUCCAGUCUUUUGAAGGGCAGGGCACAUGAUUGGUGGGAGAAGGUCAGACAUGUCAUCGGGGAUGACGCAACUCUUAAUUCUAUGAACUGGAUGGAUUUCACAACUAGGUUCAGAGCUGAGUUCGCACCUGUUAUUGAGGUGCAGCAGCUUGCUAGAGAGUUCCAAGAUCUCCAGCAAAACGAUAGAGACAGUGGCGGAGAUUAUCGCCAAGUUCAAGGAGAGGGCUCUUCUCGUUCCUUAGUACGCGGCAGACAAGGAGAUGAAGAAGGCCCGAUACCAUGAGAUGUUGAGGAGUGAUAUCAGACAGUUUGUGAGUCGUUCCAGCUGUAAAACGCUGGAUGACAUGAUUGCGAGGGUUCGUUAGAGGGAGAUUGAUUUAGAGAUGGAGAGGAAGAGGAAGCCAGAGGUGGUAUCUGGCACAGGGAGUUCGAGCAAAAAGCCCAAGGUAUCCGAUCACAGACCUAGGGGACAGCAGAGCCACAGUCAGUGUGGCAAGUGUGGGAGGUUGCACGAUGGAGUGUGCAAGGCAGGGAGAUCUGGCUGCUACAAGUGUGGUCGGACUGGGCACAUGAGUAAGGAUUGUACCGCUACUACCACUACGAGUCCCACCUCAUCAUCUGAUCUGCUUUGCUUUUAGUGCAAUCAGAGGGGCCACAAGAGGUCUCAGUUUCCGAGCUUAGCAUCCGCAGGGAAGGUGGUGGCACCUGCCCACGUUACUCUGAGGAUUACAGACAGCCGUCUGGGUCGGCCUGAGGCGCUAGUGGCGAAGAGCAAAACCUUCCAGAUGACAGCAAAGGAGGCGCGAGCGACUCCUGAUGUGACGACGGGUAUGUAUUUUCCUCUUAUCCUUGUAUUUAGUAUUGAUUGUUUCUCAUGAUUAUGUGUUUGUGUAUAGGGUCGUUCUUAGUGAACGACAUUUCAGCUGCAAUAUUGUUUAAUUUGGGGGCUACCUGAUCAUUUGUCUCACUUGCACUUAGCAAGCGAUUUAGAAGAGUUCUAGGGGAGCUGGAUUUCCCACUUGAGGUUAAGAUAGCAGAUGAUAGGACCGUCAGGGUCGCAAGGGUAUAUAAGGGGUGUUCGUUGCGAUUAUUUGAUGAGCAGUUCUCAUUGGAUUUGGUUCUUAUUCCCCUGCGAGGGAAUACGGUUAUAGUAGGUGUGGAUUGGCUGAGCCCAAGUAGGGUAGUGAUCAAUUGUGAGCUGCAGUUAGUGAGGGUUCACACUCCUAGUGGGGGAGAGUUAGUGAUUCAGGGUGAGAUGCUACAACUCAGACUGAUUCUUUGCUCCGCAGCGAGAGUGAUGCGCUACUUUCAGCAGGGUUGCGUGGGGUACAUCGCCUAUGUUAUGGAUGCCCGAGAAAAGGGUAAGGCGACAGUUGACGAUGUACCGGUGGUACGAGAGUACCCAGAUGUAUUUCCAGAGGAUUUUAUCGGAAUACCUCCUGAGAGACAGGUUGAGUUCAGGAUUGACCUGGUUCCUGGUGCGGCUCUGAUAGCCAAGGCACCAUAUCGGUUGGCUCUUCUAGAGAUGCAUGAGUUGUCUACGCAGCUACAGGAGCUACUAGACAAGGGUGUUAUCAGGUCAAGCAGUUCAUCAUGGGGAGCCCCGAUCUUGUUUGUGAAGAAGAAGGAUGGGUCACGUCGCAAGUGUAUAGACUAUUAGGAGUUGAACAAGGUAAUGGUGAAGAACCAUUAACCACUUCCGAGGAUAGAUGAUAUGUUCGAUCAGCUUUAGGGAGCAUCUUGGUUUUCCAAGAUUGAUCUACGGUCCGGAUAUCACCAGAUGCGGGUCAGUGUUGAGCAUGUGCAGAAGACCGCUUUUAGUACCCACUAUGAUCAUUAUGAGUGUGUGGCAAUGCCAUUUGGGCUCACCAACGCUCCAGCCGCAUUCAUGGAUCUCAUGAACUGCGUGUGCAGGCCGAUGUUGGAGCGGUCUGUGCUAGUGUUCAUCGAUGACAUCUUGGUUUAUACCAGGACUUAGGAUCAUCACGAAGAGCACCUGAGAGUGGUGCUAGAGACACUAAGCAGGGAUAAACUUUUCGCGAAGUUCUCCAAGUGUAAGUUCUGGUUGCGCGAGCUGCAAUUCCUUGGACACCUCGUUAACCAGAAGGGUAUACUUGUAGAUCCGGACAAGAUAGAGGUUGUGAUGCAGCGGGAGGUCUCGAGGUCUCCAUCUGAGAUUCGGAGCUUCGUAGGUCUAGCAGGGUAUUACAUGAGAUUCAUUCAGGAUUUUUCCAAGAUAGCAGUACCGCUCACUUGACUAACUAAGAAGUCAGUGGCGUUUCGCUGGGGUCCUGAGCAGCAGUUAGCAUUUGAGACGCUCAGGCAGCGACUGUGCAAGGCACCGAUUCUUACCCUGCCAGAGGGAGUGGAUGACUUUGUAGUCUACUGUGACACUUCGAUCACAGGUAUGGGAGCAGUGUUGAUGCAGCAGGGGCAUGUCAUAGCUUAUGCCUCUAGACAGUUGAAGCCUCACGAGGCUAACUAUCGGAUGCAUGAUUUAGAGUUGGGGGCAGUGGUGUUCGCCCUCAAGAUUUGGCGACAUUACCUCUAUGGGGUCUGUUGUACCAUUUACAUAGAUCACAAGAGUCUGUGGUACCUUAUGGAUCAGUCGAAUAUGAAAAUGAGGCAGCGUCGAUGGUUGGAUAUGGUAAAGGGUUACAAGUGUAAGAUCCUUUACCAUCCGGGGAAGGGCAAUGUUGUGGCCGAUGCUCUGAGCCACAAGUUGGUGGUGGCCCCGAUCAGAGAUAUAUGUCUAAGGAUGAUAGUGAUUACUCCAUUGCUGGAGCAGAUAAAAAAGGCAUGGGUUUAGGGCCUGAAGGAGGAGAUGCAGAAGUUUGAGAGGAUCGUGGGCCGAGUAGCUUCCUUCGAUUAUGACAGUCGAGGAUUAUUGACCCUGCAUGGGAGGCUCUGGGUACCGUACUGAGCCGGGGUAUGGCAGGUGUUGAUGGACGAGGCCCACAAGUCUCGGUUCUCCAUCCAUCUGGGGGCGAUAAAGAUGUAUAGAGAUCUUCGACCCGAUUAUUGGUGGCCCUGCAUGAAGCGGGAUGUAGCGUGGUAUGUAGAGAGAUGCCUGACCUGCAGGAAGGUCAAGGCAGAGCACCAGAGACCCCACAGCAAGAUGCAACCAUUGGAUUUUCCCAUGUGGAAAUGGGAGCAUAUCACCAUGAAUUUCAUUACUAAUCUUCCCAUGACCGCACGUGGAGUUGAUUCGAUUUAGGUCAUCGUGGAUCGGUUGACCAAGAGUUUGCAUUUUAUACCGAUCCAGGAGAGCAUCUCAGCUGAGAAGUUAGCCGAUAAUUAUGUGGGAGAGGUAGUGGCACAUCAUGGAGUGCCAGUUUCAGUGGUGUCAGACCGAGACGUCCGGUUCACUUCCAGGUUUUGGAAGCGGUUUCAUGACGAGAUGGGUACUUGUCUUAAUUUCAGCACCACUUUCCACCCUCAGAUGGACGAGCAGAGAGAGGACGAUUCAGACUCUCGAAGACAUGCUUUGGGCAUGUGUCCUAGAUUUUGGUGGUAGUUGGGAUACGUAUCUUCCAUUAGCGGAAUUUUCGUAUAACAACAGUUACCACACCAGUAUUGACCGUCCUCCUUUCGAGAUGCUUUAUGGGAGGAAGUGUAGGACCCCAGUCUGUUGGGGUGAGGUUGGUCAGAGAGUCAUGGGGAGUACGGAGGUAGUACUCAAGACCACAGAGUUGAUACAGCAGGUCUGUAGCAGGCUUCAGACUGUGCAGAGUCGGCAGAAGAGUUACGUCGAGAAGCGACGCUCAGACUUAGAGUUCCAGGUGCGCGAUAUGGUCCUCCUGAAGGUGUCACCCUGGAAGGGUAUCAUCCGAUUUCCGAAGCGGGGAAAGCUGGGCCCCAGAUUUAUUGGUCCCAUUAGGGUUUUGGCCCGAGUGGGUCGGGUUGCAUAUCGCUUAGAUCUUCCAGUAGAGAUCAACCAGAUCCACAGCACUUUCCAUGUUUCUCAGCUGCGGAAGUGCUUAGUGGAUGAGUCAGCAGGUGUACCAUUGGAGGAUAUUCAGGUUGAUUGCAGCCUGAAUUACAUCGAGAAACCUGUUGCGAUCAUGGAUCGGAAGACAAAGACCUUGAGGAACAAGGUGGUUCAGCUAAUAAAGGUGCAGUGGCAACACCGCAAGGGCUCGGAGUGGACGUGGGAGCCCGAGGAGGAGAUAAGGGAACACUACCUAGAGUUGUUUGUAGAGACAGCAGACUUCGAGGACGAAGUCUAAGAUAAGUGGGGGAGAAUUGUAACGCCCAGUUUCUGGUACGUAUUUGAUCUACUUUUAUAUCAUUUGUAUUAAGUGACUCGAUGAGUGGCAGCCCUAACUCGUUAAGUAGAUGCGAGGUUGGGAUGCGGGUUUAAGUAAUCUACUCGACGAGUAGGCCAGUCUAGAUGAAACCCUAAUUAAAGGGUUUGUACCCUAUUUAAACAACAUUAUGAACUUCAAGCCCAGGCUCCAUCACCUCCAGAGCAUUUCUUUAGAAACCCUAAUUUCCUUUUGGCAAGCUUGAGCUUUCUUAGUGACUUGGAGGGUUUUUGGUGCAUUGUGUAUCUAGUGGAAGAUUUGGAAGGAAGAAGGAUCAAGGGAGAAGGGCUAGAUCCAGGAGCAACAUCAGUUUAUUUUCACCUUCAGGUAAUCAAGCUCAAAACUUGACUUGUGGUUUUAUAGAUUUUCUCCUUUGCCCUUUUAUGGAGUUUUGGGGUCAAUAAACUUGAUCCUUAAGACUUGGACGUCCCAAGUCGAUUCACCUUCAGAUUUAGACUCUAGAACCAAGUUCUUGGCAUACAGAUGCAUGCUUUAUGGCCAUAAUAGCCCAUGCACCCCUUUAGACCUCAUUUUGGCUCCUUAAAGCUUACACUUCCAUGCAUGCACGUCAAGUUCAUAACUUUACAUGCUAGAUCGAUCUUAGAAAGCCUAGAUCUACCUUUUGGAUAAGAGUUGUACACCAGAAAUUGAGAUUAUAGCCUUGGACAAUAGGCGACUCGACGAGUUGUUCUUGGAACUCGGUGAGUCCGACGCUUCAGUCCCCAAUUUGUUGUGGUUCAAAGGGACCCAGCUGAGUGAUAGCAAGCAUUUAGAUGAGUACAGAGGAGUGAUAUGACAUAUUAAGAUAUAGCCUCGAUCUAGAAAUCAUUGGACUCGACGAGUGUUAGAACACACUCAGUGAGUCCAAGGCAAUCUCCUUACCUACAAGAACAGAAUUGACGAGUUGUUCAUACAACUCGACGAGUCAUAGUCUAGACGUGUUCAUAUGAAAAAGAUGAACUCGAUGAGUUGUGCAUACAACUCGGCGAGUCGGAUGAAGAUUGACUCAAGGAAUUAUAGAAGGAGAACUCGUCGGGUCUUUGCUAAGCUCGACGAGUAGAACCGGGUAAGGGGCAGAAGAAAGGAUAUGGACUCGGCGAGUUGGCGACCCAACUCGGCGAGUCGGGAUAGGUGGAAGUUGACUUUGACCAUGGGUAAAAUAGUCACUUUAUCCUAGGAUUGGUUAUCAGUGUUUGAUUAAGUUUCUUUGUGGUAAUUGCAGCCGAGGAGUUACCAGAGCAGCAGACAGACAGUUCCCGAUCAGCAUUUCCGCAGUUAGCCUUACGAGGUGAAUUUCCUUCCAGUAGGAAUGGGUCUACAACCAUAAUGUUGGCCCGUUUAGAUAGCAGUAGUUCAGUAUGCUUGAUGUCUUUGUGAUUCAGGCAUGUUUAUGUGUUAUGUGUUCCAGACUGCAGUCUGAUGCAAUAUGCAGUACAUGUGUUAUUUUUAUAUGCUAUGAUUGUGUUAUGCUAUGUUCGGUUAGUUCCGGACUCCGGUCCGAUGCAGUGGGCAAGGCCCUAGUUAGUUCCGGACUUCGGUCCGAUGCAGUGGGCAAGGCGCUAGUUAGUUCCAGACUUCGGUCCGAUGCAGUGGGCAAGGCCUUAGUUAGUUCCGUACUUUGGUCCGAUGCAGUGGGCAAGGCUCAAGUCAAUUCCAAACUUCGGUCCGAUGCAGAGGGCGAGGCCCUAAUCAGUUCCGGACUUCGGUAUGAUGCAGUGGGCAAGGCCCAAUAUGUGCUUUAUUUGUUAUUGCAUGGUAUGUGGUAGUUUGGGGGAGCUCACUAAGCUUCGUGCUUACAGUUUUCGUUUUUUGUUUCAGGUACUUCAGCUAGCAUGGGGAAGGGCUCAGGUUGAUGGCAUGGCACACACCAUAGUUUUGCCUGGGAGUUAGACUCUAAUAUUUUGACACGAUCAUGACAUCAGAUUUGAUUUGAUACAUUUAUUAUGACAUUUUGAGAUACACGACUUACGGUUUUGUUAUAUGACAUUUGGAUAUUAUGGUUUUAGUAAUGUUUUCAAAUAAUUUUUUUGGCUUGUAUUUUUGGGUUGUUACACUAAGUAUAACCCAUUACUAAGCAAUAAAGAAUAAACUCCAAUAUUGGUAACAGGCGACACUUUCCUAUUCCCCAUGAUCAAGUUCAUCUUCCCAUGCUCCACAACCAUACUUCUUUUUAAACCAUGCAAAUCAAAACAAAUGUGAAAACCACAUCUUGUAUCAAGGAACCAAAAAUUAGAAUGUGAUGAGUUAUUAGACAAAAUUGUAUAAAUACCUGGGAAGGUGAGAUUUAUCUUCCCAUCCUUGAUGUCCUACAAGUAUUUAGGGCAGCUUCGUUUCCAAUGCCUUUUUCAUGACAAUGGAAGCACUCUGCUUCCUUUGGAUUUAAUGACGGAUCAAUAGAACCACCUUUGGACUCACUAGAAGAGGAUCUAUCACGAGACUUUCCUUUGUGAUUCUUUGAAAGAGCUUUCCUUUUCUUCUCUUUACCAUGUCCAAUUGCCAGGGCUGGGGCAGCAGCAGCAGGAAUAGGUACAACAUAUUUUCCUUUCAAACUACUUUCAGCAGUUCCGAUAAGGCCUUGAAGCUUGCUUAAAGUGACUUCCUCCUUAUUCAUAUGAUAAGUCAUUCGGAACUGAUCAUAACAAGAAAGUAAAGAGUGUAGGAUAAUGUUGAUAGUCAACUCUUCAUCGAAUUUGACAUUCAACUUCAGCAAGCAGUCCACAAACCUUUGCAUCUUUUGUAAGUGGGCCAUGAUGGACUCUCCAUCCCUCAUUUUGGUUGUUAUCAUGGAGGAAAUGAAUUCAUACCUUUCCUGUCGAGCACUUUGAUGGUACCUUUCCAUCAUGUCUUGGUGCAACUCAAAAGGAUAGUAGUCCUCAUAGGACUUUUGGAGUUCAUCUGUCAUAGUGUCAAGCAUGAUGCACGACACCUUUGUCGCGUCCUUCUCAUGAGCCCUAUAUUCAACAAUUUCUUCAGGAGUAGCAGCCGCUUCAUCAACCUACUUUAGCUCUUUAUCAAGGACAUAUUCCUUAUCCUCGUAAUGAGUGACCAUACGAAUGUUUCGAAUCCAGUCAAUGAAAUUCGACCCAUCGAAAAUCACCCUCCCACAUAAGUUCAUGAGGGAGAAAGAGCCGGAAGGGUUGGAGCCUACAACGUUUGGGGUAGACAUCUGAAAAGAAAGAUAAAGUUUAGAUUAGAUAAGAAUCUUUAAUAUAACAUUCAAAUGAAAUAUUAAAACUAGGAACCAACACAAUAUUUCACAAUUCGAAAGAGGGAUGCCGUAAUCUAAUUGCAAAAUAUUUGAAGGUAAGUAAAUGAAGAUUUACCAAUUUCCACCAUGAAAAACGAAAUUGAGGAUUAAGUUUUAAAUGAAUUGAAAUUCCAACAUUCUUUUGAGAUUCAUUAAACUUUUCAAUGGCAUGUUUAAAUCUCGAUUAUGUCAUUCAAAUUUGUGACUGGGAUACCGAGGAUCACAAAUAAGGUGUGAAUAACCAUGCAAUUGUGCUUGGUACUCUUGAUGUCAUUUAUCACCUAAUCAAUGUGUCGGUUAACCACACAUGCUCCAUUGAUCUAUGACAAACAUCAAGCUACCCUUUGCCAACCUUGCUAGUCCAAGUUAGUGUGUCGGUUAACCACACACGCUCCACUAACGACUUGGCAAGGUGCAAAGUGCACUUUUAUGGAAUAACACAAAUUUCACAUUUUUCCUAAAGUAACUAAGAUUGAGAAUUUAUAAAAACAUUUAGUUACAUUUAAAAUUAUCAUUAUACUUUUUAACGAGUAUUAAUGUCCUAUCCUACCCGCUCGGCUAACAACCCCCCACCAGUCAAGGAAGCAGUGGGUGAGAGUGGACACCCAUUCAAUUGCUAGUUUAUAGGCAAUUUCCUUAUAUCCCCCUUAUAGACCAACUUCAUGAAUGAGGCCUACUAACAGUAAGACNGUAAGACUGACUCGUCUUAUAUAUAUAUAUAUAUAUAUAUAUAUAUAUAUAUUAAUCUUUUAAUAUUAUAAUAGUAUAAGGGUUGAAUUUUAAACUUUUAAAAUUCUAGAGUUUAUAAUUUAAUGUUCCAUAAAUGAAACAUUUCAAAUUCCAAAACUUGAGGGCAAGUUUUAAAACUCUUUAAAACCUUUUGAAUUCUAUAACUUAGAAUUUAAAGUUCCAUAAAUGAGACUUUUCAAAUUCCAAAACUUGAGGGCAAGUUUUGAAACCAUUUAAAACUCUCUUGGAUCAGUUUGAUAACAAUUAAAUUAAUCAUAUAAUUAACUAUAUCACAAAAUUGACCUAAUCUAAUUUCAUAUAGCAAGAUUAUUCAAAUCAAAUUCUACAAAUAAUUAACAUUUCACAAAAUCAAAUAAUUAUCUUAAAAUUUGCCAAUCAUCAUUCAAUUUGGAUGAGAAUAAUCAUUACCAUAUCAGAAAAAGAAAAUUUUAUCAUGCAAAACAGUUUGUGGUAAUGAUCUUAAUCCAAAUUUGACCAAAAAACUCAAAAAUCUGCAAUCAAGAGAUCCUACUCAUCGAGUUCAUGGCAUGGACUCGACGAGUUCAUCACAUAUGAUCCAACUCGUCGAGUUCCCAUAUCGGACUCGGCGAGUCCAAUAGCCAGUGGCCAAAAAUCACAUUUUUUCAUCUUUGAAAAUCAAACAAUUGGAGAAUAUUAAAGAGAGACGGGAAAGGCUAUUUUCGGCUCUAGGAAUCCUUCUAGUGUUGUGGUAGCCAAAAAUGUGAAGUCAAGGGGGUCUUUAUAUAGGUGAGUAAUUAGGGUUUCAGUCAAAGACUUAAUCCGGUUGCUUAGGCUCUAAGCAACCCAUAGGAAUCUUCUAGAACCCUAGCCUUGGACUAAUUCUUAUGGGUUAUCCAUAAGAUUUUGUCCUCCCCUAUCUUUAGGGAUCCUCAGCCCAUUUUGCAAUUAUUUGAUAAUUACAAUAUCAGUCCCCUUAAUUCAGUUAACCUCUUUUGACCACAAAAUUAAUUCUAAAUUAAUUUCUUGACCAAUGUUAAUUAAAUAAUAUGAUUUCUCUUUUAAUAUAUUAUUCAUAUAAUAUAUUAAUAAAUCACUUUUAUCCUCUUUCUCCAUUAUUCUUCCAGUCAAGUUGUUUUGAUGAAGGCAACCCAAAAGGACCAUGCUACAAUCGGGUCAAGUACAUACCAUAUAUAGUUAUGGGCUUAGACACCUAUUCCAACAGAACGAACUAUAUAAACAUAUAGAAGUAGAUUGUCAUUUUGUGCGUGAUGCUAUUGUUGAAGGUCUAGUUGCUCCAUCAUAUGUUCACACAUCCGAGCACCUAUCAGAUAUUCUAACUAAGGCACUUGUCAAAACUCAGUUUGACAAAUUGGUGGACAAGUUUGGCAUUUUCGAUCCCCAUGCUCCAACUUGAGGGGGGAUGUUGAAGUAUAUUAAUGUUAUCUUCUUAUCUAGCUAUUAUGUAUUUGAAUGUAAUUCUUAUCUAUUAGUUUGUUUUGUAUUCUGAUAGGAUUAUUUGUAAUCCGAUCCAAACGGAUCUUUGAUGUAUAAGUACCAACAUUAUGAUUAAUGAGAUACACACAUUAAAAUCACACACACACUUUUAUUGAUUAUUUUAGAAGAAAACAUAUAGAUUUAUCAUUCCAUUUCGUCUGGGGAAAAGUAAAGAAUGGGAAAUUACAAUUAAAUCAUGUGGCGAUUUGAGAUCAAGUGCUAAGCAUCUUUACAAUGGUACUCCCAACCGAGUUACCUAAAAACUUGCAAAACAAAGAUAUGAAUAAAGGAUGGACCUUUUUACCCAGCCUGUGAGUUAUUACUGGCCCCUCUCUGUCUCUCCCCUGCGUUGUGAAUGAAGUGAUCUUGAAAACAGAAAAGAACGUAGCAUCCCGCUCAAUGCAAGUAGGGAGAACCCGUUCUCUAUCUUGUUUCAUCAGCAAAUGUGGCAAACGGUGGUCUUAUUCUCUUUUACUUAUACAUUAUCCAAACUCAAAUAAAAGUCAAAAUAACGAUAGGAGUUGAAGUUAUAAAUAAAAGUAUUCUAGGAUAUUUUAAAGAAAAGAUUAAUCUUAUCCGUAAGAGUUUUCUUUCGGCGGUUUCUUGACAUAUGUGCGGUACGAGCAUAAUUGUAUUAUUAGGAAUUAUGAUUCCCUUUUUCAUUUGCUUUAUUUAUGUUGCUAUAAGUUUGAAAACCAUUUUCUAUAAAGAAAUCUCUUUCCUCAAGUGUUUCAAUAAAAGUAAUUCACACUCUCAUUCCCAUUUUGAAAAAGAGCAUCAUCUUGACCAAGUUCGAGGGUCUAGAUGGAUUCAAGUGUCUCAACCACUUGAGUCAUAAUCGGCCUAUCUUUAGGGUUUUUACUUACACAUUGGUAAGCUAAAUUGGCAACUUUAAUGACAGUUUUUGAGGAAUAUUGACCUUUCAUUCUUGGGUCAAGUAUUCUCACAAGUUUUCGGUUGUGGACUAGAUGUGGUCGAGCCCAAUCAAUCAAGUUAUGCUCACAGCUAGGUCGACUUGCAUCUAUGGCUCUUCGACCAAUCAACAUUUCAAGAAGCACCACCCCAAAACCGUAUAUAUCACUUCUUACUGACAAGUGUCCUGUCAAUGCCAUAAAAAAUUCAUACAAGAAAUAGAAUGAUAUAAGUUGGAUGUACUUUUAAAGUCCAAUGUUUCAAUAAGAAAAAAAAAAUUGAAGGUAUAAGGCAAUAAUAUAAAAAAAAGAAAAUAGGAUGUUAUAAUACACAUAUACAUAAAAAUGUGCUUUUUUUUUUUUUUUUUUUUUGUAUUUAGCCCUAAAACAUAUUAGGUUAAAUGCAAGAAAUGAUACCAUUUUAUUAAUUUGUUUAUUAAAAUGCAAUAAUACACAAAUAAACAAAAGUAUGUUGUUAUUUCUUGGAACCUAAAAGAAAGAGUUAACUACAAGAAGUAGUAGCAUACUUUCAUCAAUCUAUUUAUUACGGAAUGUUAAAUUCAUUUCUUAUUACUACAUUGUAUGUUGAAAACUCUAAAACUCUAUCUGAUUAUAUAAAUGUCCUCUAAAUAAAAAAAAGAUAUUUUCACUAUGAUAACUGAACACGAUUUUUGAAGUUUACAAACCUAAUAAGAAAAAAAAAAUAUCGAAAUUACAAUGCUAUAGCAAAUGUAUUUUUCAAGGUUCAACGUCUAAUUCAAAAAAUAUGAAGUGCAAUGCUAUAACCAAAAUAAAUAAAAGCAACAUGCUAUGAUAUACAAAUAAAUGAGAAUACACAUGUAGCCUUGAAAGGAAGGGUUAACUAAAACAAAUAGCAAACACAUUUUUAUUUAUUUGUUUAUUAUAACAUUUUAAUUUUAUUUUUUCUAUUACCACAUUGUACUUUAAAAAUCUACCUAAUUAUAACAAUGUCAUCCAAAUACAAAACAAAUUUCAUUGUUAUAAUUUGGUAAAAUUUUCAAAUUAACAAUAUACCAAAAAAUGAGCACACUUUUAUAGUUAAGCACUUUUUCAAUGUACUAACCAAAAUUUUGUAAAAUAUAAUGCUAUAUUAGAAAAAAAUGAAAAUAUAUAUAUNNNNNNNNNNNNNNNNNNNNNNNNNNNNNNNNNNNNNNNNNNNNNNNNNNNNNNNNNNNNNNNNNNNNNNNUAUAUAUAUAUAUUGUAUGUCUACUUUAAAAUUGGCCUCACCGGUCGCGAUGUAUUCAGGAGCUGCAUAUCCAUAUGUACCUAUAACUCCAGUCGAUACAUGUGUUUGAUCCCCCAUUGGUCCAUCUUUUGCAAGUCCAAAAUCAGACAAUUUUGCAUUGAAUUCCUGCAAAUUUAUUCACAUUAAGGUAUUGUUUUUUUUUUUAAUUGAUUUGAUUCGGACAAGACUUUGGUAAACGAUAUAAUGCUGUUUUCUUUACUUAAUACACAACAAGAAAGCCUUAACAAAGAAAACCAAAAAUGUUGUCCGAUUUAUUUUUUCCUUCAAUCUUUGUACUGCAUUUUCUCAAGUUUUUAAAAAAUAUCAUUUGUCCAUACUAACCGCAUCCAGCAAGAUAUUUGAUGUCUUGAAAUCCCGAUAGAUGAUUGGUCUUUCAGAAUCAUGGAGAAAAGCAAGCGCUAUUGCCGUAUCCAAUGCAAUCUUUAUUCUCCGUGACCAUGUCAAUGUAGUACAUACUCCUUUAACAUAAAUGGAAGUGCAACAAAAUUCAAUAAAAAAGAAAAAGCUAGUUUCCUAAAAUUAUAUAUAUAUAUANNNNNNNNNNNNNNNNNNNNNNNNNNNNNNNNNNNNNNNNNNNNNNNNNNNNNNNNNNNNNNNNNNNNNNNNNNNNNNNNNNNNNNNNNNNNNNNNNNNNNNNNNNNNNNNNNNNNNNNNNNNNNNNNNNNNNNNNNNNNNNNNNNNNNNNNNNNNNNNNNNNNNNNNNNNNNNNNNNNNNNNNNNNNNNNNNNNNNNNNNNNNNNNNNNNNNNNNNNNNNNNNNNNNNNNNNNNNNNNNNNNNNNNNNNNNNNNNNNNNNNNNNNNNNNNNNNNNNNNNNNNNNNNNNNNNNNNNNNNNNNNNNNNNNNNNNNNNNNNNNNNNNNNNNNNNNNNNNNNNNNNNNNNNNNNNNNNNNNNNNNNNNNNNNNNNNNNNNNNNNNNNNNNNNNNNNNNNNNNNNNNNNNNNNNNNNNNNNNNNNNNNNNNNNNNNNNNNNNNNNNNNNNNNNNNNNNNNNNNNNNNNNNNNNNNNNNNNNNNNNNNNNNNNNNNNNNNNNNNNNNNNNNNNNNNNNNNNNNNNNNNNNNNNNNNNNNNNNNNNNNNNNNNNNNNNNNNNNNNNNNNNNNNNNNNNNNNNNNNNNNNNNNNNNNNNNNNNNNNNNNNNNNNNNNNNNNNNNNNNNNNNNNNNNNNNNNNNNNNNNNNNNNNNNNNNNNNNNNNNNNNNNNNNNNNNNNNNNNNNNNNNNNNNNNNNNNNNNNNNNNNNNNNNNNNNNNNNNNNNNNNNNNNNNNNNNNNNNNNNNNNNNNNNNNNNNNNNNNNNNNNNNNNNNNNNNNNNNNNNNNNNNNNNNNNNNNNNNNNNNNNNNNNNNNNNNNNNNNNNNNNNNNNNNNNNNNNNNNNNNNNNNNNNNNNNNNNNNNNNNNNNNNNNNNNNNNNNNNNNNNNNNNNNNNNNNNNNNNNNNNNNNNNNNNNNNNNNNNNNNNNNNNNNNNNNNNNNNNNNNNNNAGUUUACUUAGCUUUAAGAUCGAACUCAUGGGAUAAGAUACAACAUCAAUAUGUACAAUACACCAUUGUACAUAUUGAUGUUGUAUCUUAUCCCAUGAGUUCGAUCUUAAAGCUAAGUAAACUAAAAAAUCAUAGCACUUGUGAUUCCACUCGUUUGUAGACUUGUUUAGAAUCCAUGAUACGAUAAAUCAUUUGAUUGGAAAUGUAAAUGUAGUCAUGAAAUGCGCCUGCUUAGUCAAGAUUCCCCUAAUAAAUAUUCAAGUUCAUUACAAAGUUAUACAUGUAUGAAUAAUGUCCUUUCGUAGGUUAUGUUUUGAAGAGAAGCAAGAAUGAAUCUCAUAAAAGUCAUUAAUAUCAGUAGGAGAUGAUGUGAGAUUUGUUGUAAAUGAGUAAAGGGAAAAUGAAUCAGGAGGGUAACCAACUGUUGCGUUUGUUCUCAUUUGGUCCCUUUCCUUUUUUUUGUACUCAAUAUACCAUCGAACUUGUUUUCUGUGUUCACCAUAACCCUUUGACCGGCUAUCACAGGUCAAAAGCCGGUCAAAAGGGCUAUGGUAAACACCAACAACAAGUUCGAUGAUAUAUUGAAUACAAAAAAAAGAAAAGGGACCAAAUGAGUACAAACGCAAAAGUUAAUUACCCUCAAGAGUCAUUUUCCCCAAUAAAUUCAUAAGUAAAAAUACAAAAAAAAAAAGAAUUAAUCUACUCACUGUCAUAUAGGUGUUUCUCCAAGCUUCCGGAUGCCAUAUAUUCGUACACCAAAAGGCGAUGAUCUUCCUCGCAACAAUAUCCAAUAAGCUUCACAAUAUUUGGGUGUUGUAGUUGUCCUAAAUAAUUUACUUGAACCUGUAAAUUAUAUAAGAACAUGCAUACAUUAUAUAAAUACAUACAUAGUAACUUUACAUACAUACAUGAUACACACAUAAACACAAACACACGCUGAAUGUUGGAAGUUGAUUUGUCCACAAUAAUUUCUUUUUUGAUACACAACAAUUUAUGUUUCAAAAUGUUUUAUUAUAUAAAUCUAUAAAGCAUAAAUUAAAACAUUUGUUUUACAUGAAUCACUUCCCCUUCAAGGCUUCAAAUUAUUUCGACAUAUAUACAUGGAAGCAAAGGUAUCCACGCGAACACCCUCAAAGUUUUGUAAUGUAAAAAAAUGAAAGAAAAUUUUAAAGAUUUUUUUUGUGGAGGAUAGUAUCUAGCUUAGACUAGCUCACUUGGUAGAAAUUUUGUCUUUUAUAUUGGGAGUUCCGAGUUCUAAUUUUAGAUAUUGACGAAUUUAACUAAGUUAGUUAUAUUAACCACUAACCAACUGUUAAANNNNNNNNNNNNNNNNNNNNNNNNNNNNNNNNNNNNNNNNNNNNNNNNNNNNNNNNNNNNNNNNNNNNNNNNNNNNNNNNNNNNNNNNNNNNNNNNNNNNNNNNNNNNNNNNNNNNNNNNNNNNNNNNNNNNNNNNUAUAUAUAUAUAUAUAAAACCAUUCAAAAAUGCCAGUGUUAAAUUAAAAAAACACUAUUUUGAUUUUCUUUCUUUAACUACCGGUUUUCUUGAAAAUAAAUAAAUUAAUAAAUACAUAAAUAAAUAAAACUCCCUAAAAGUAGUCAUUUUGAGUGAUUAUAUCACCUCUCCUAUUCUAAUAAAAAAAAUUACAACCUCUACAAAAUAUUAUUUCACCUGAAAAUUAAAUUACCAACUUAUCUUACUUUUUCUUUGAAUUAUUUUGUUUUCCUUGAAAUUGGCUACUAAUCGAUAGAAGGAACUCCUCCACACUCCCAAAAUAGAAAUUUCAGUUUAAAAUUUCGUAAACCCUUGAUAUAAGGGUAAUCUAAAUCUUAAUUCGAUAUUUUUGGAAGUAUUUUCUUUCAAUUUUCUAUUUUUUUAACCGACGGACAUUAUAAAACUACCAUUCAAAAAAGGAGAGAGCUUAAAAUGGAAAGAGGCAAGGCAAAAAAACAAAAGAAACAUAUUACAAUAUUUUAAAGGGAGAACAACACCAAUCACCCCAAUUACAUUCCCCAAAAUUCUCUCUAUGCUUAAUCCAAUUGAAAACCAAAAGAUAAAUAUUAUCCGCCAAUCUACUAGGACUAGAAUGCAAUUUGUUAAACACUCGUUCAUUCCUUUCCUUCCACAAGCUCCAGGGGGAUCGCAUCAAAUAGAAAUGACAAUUUUGCUUUUCUUGGGAUAGUCCCCAAUUAGCCGCAAAAUUAAUGAUAUCAGCCAUCGUGUCAAAAACGUUGGAAAGGGAUAUCGCACCACUUGAGAAUCCAAGACCACACUCGCUAGCAAAACCACAAUUUAGAAGGAUGUGAUCUGAACCGCGUAACAUGUUAGCCUAUAUAUUAUUAGCCCACUUGUUUAUGAGUUUUUUAGUCUUUAGGCUAUUAGGAUUUUGUCUAGCUAGUAUUUAUAUCCACUUUAUUCUUUGUAGCUUUUAUGCAUUUUAUUGAGAACAUUGUAAUUUCUCUCUAUCAUAAUCAUAUGACAAUGUUAUCAUGUUAUCAGAGCGAAGGUUUGUUACGUUAGAAGACUUUGUAGCAGUCAUCAGUGGCGCGGAUUGAACAUUUCUAGAGUUACUGUUUAUUCAGUCUGGUGAUGUUUAUUCGUUAGUGAUAUUCGUUUUUUGGAUGGUAUUUGUUUGUUGUUGUCGUUUAUUCGUUGUCGCUGUUCGAUUUCUUGCUAUUCGAUUGAUUCCUUCUGCUGGUUUGUUACUCAUCUCAUUCUCAGAUUGCUAUACUAUUAUCAUGGGCAAAUCCAAUGUAGAGCCCGGGGUAGCCCGGGAUACCCCUCAAAAAAAUUUUGAUACUGUAAUUCUUUUUAACAAAAUUUCGUUUUAUAUAGUGUAUAUAUAUGUUUCCCUUCACUUGUAAACCCAAACAAACAUGUGGUCUGCUGGUAAGGCACUAGUAUAUUGAAGUAGAGGUCUAAGGAUCAAAUCUCCCUCCUUAGAUGUUCUUUGUUUACCUUAUAUUUUUAUUUUCCUAGCUAUUCUAUCCCACAUCGCCAAACACAUGUAAAUUUAGCCAAUUUCGUCUAUUAUAUUAACCUGUUAUCUUCAUGUUUCAUUCUUAUAUUUUUAUUUUCCCAGCUAUUCUAUCCCACAUCGCCAAACACAUGUAAAUUUAGCCAAUUUCGUCUAUUAUAUUAACCUGUUAUCUUCAUGUUUCAUUUGAUAUCUACUUUGAUUUCCACAUCUAUUCAAGUAUCAAAAGAUACUUCAACUUCAUGUUAAUAUAACAUGACUUUAGCUUAUUUAAGGAUGCAAUUAAGGUUUAGGUUUAAAACCAAAGUAGCCAAAAAAAAUUGGGCCAUCCGAAAUUUUUUGGGAUACCCCUUUACUUUGACCCUGGGUCCGCCACUGACUAUUAUUGUGGUUAUUUAUUCGUUGCCAAGAUGACUGGAAAGGAUGAUUCCCUUCAAUCAAUCAGUACUCAUCUAGAUGGAAAGCAUUAUACCUAUUGGAGUUACGUUAUGAAGAACUUCCUUCAUGGGAAGAAUAUGUGGGGCUAUAUCACUGGGACUAAAGUCAAACCCUCCGUGCCUCAAGCUGAGAAUUUCGAUUUAUGGUUGAUGCUUGGGAGACUGAUGACUCCAAGGUCAUUACUUGGAUUACUAAUUCUAUUACUCAGUCUAUCGAUAUGCAGUUGGCUAAAUAUGACACAAAAAAGGAAGUUUGGAAUCACUUGGGCAGACUGCAUACUCAAUCCAACUUUGCUAAAAAGUACCAGAUAGAAUAUGAUAUUCGUCCUCUUUAAAAAAUGACCAAAGCAUUCAAGAUUUCUAUGCUGCUAUGUCUGAUUUGUGGGAUCAAUUGGCUCUUACUGAAUCUAAAGAGUUCAAAGAUUUUGAGCCUUACAUUGCUAGGAGGGAAGAACAACGUUUGGUCCAAUUCUAGAUGGCCUUUCGUUCUGAUUUUGAAGGCCUACAUGGUACGAUUGUUCAUCACUCUCCCCUUCCCUCAGUGGAUUCUAUUGUUCAUGAGUUGAUUGCUGAAGAGACUUCUAUCAAGUCUCAUGCUGAUGAAGAGCUUAAAGCAACCUCCAUUCCUACUUCCACUCUUGAUGUGCUUGAUGUCUCCUCUAAUCAGUCUCUACAAACUUCAAAGGUUGCUUAUGAUGAGUGUGCAUUCUAGAAACAGAAAUAUCAUUGGAAAGCUCAGCGUCAUUGUUAGUCAACAAGGGUAAAUCUGGUUAGCCUCAGUUGGGACAACAAAAUAGGUCUGGUCAACAGAAGUUUCAACCACGUUCCUUUGGUACUCCUCCAUGGACUCCUCGUCCUCCAUAGUUUGUUGUUGCUACUACACCACCAGUUGACACAAAAUCUGUUGAAAACAUGUCACCAUCUGCAUUGGAUCCCAAGGUUUUUGAGAGUUUCAGACAAUAUUUGGCCUCUAAUCCCACUACCAUAUCUGCAUCUAUGUCUGAUUCUGGUCCUACUUCAUCUGGUACAUCAGGUAUUCCCUCAUCUUUGUGUAUUUUAGAUUCUGGUGCAACCCAUCACAUGACUCCUCAUUUGUCAUCAUUUACUUCUUUGUCACAUGUGUCAUGUCUACUAGUGAUGUAUCUAUGCUAGUUGAGGGUGUUGGUUUUGUCUCUAUUUCUCAUGUCACUCUCCCUAAUGUUUAAUACAUUCCCAAACUUACUUUGAAUCUUACCUCAGUCAGUCAGUUAUGUAAGUCUGGUAACUAGGUCUUCUUUUAUGAUUAUGUCUGUCUUAUACAUGAUCAACACACCCAGAAGGUAAUUAGGAUCGGCCGUAAGGUGAGGGAACUUUAUGUCUUGGAGGUUCUCAAAGUAUCUGUUGUUGCUGCCUCCAGCAUUGAUUUGUCUUCUUUUCGUUUGAGUCCUUUGUCGUUUGAGUUUUAUCUUUGGCAUUCUCAUUUGGGACAUGUGUCUGUAUCAUGUUUGAGUUUUCUAGCAUCUAUUGGUGUUUUGGGUCAUUUGAAGACUUAUGAUAUUUCUGAUUGUAUAUGCUUUACCUUUCAAUAAAAGUAUGUCUUGUUCUACUGCUCCUUUUGACAUUAUUCAUUCUAAUGUGUGGGGUCCUGCACCAGAAUCCACAAAUGGUGGGUCAACCUAUUAUGUAUCUUUUAUAGAUGAUUAUACUCGAUAUACAUGGGUUUAUCUUAUGAAACGCAAAUCUGAUUUCAUUGGUAUUUAUAGCAAUUUUAGAGAUCUUGUUAAAACUCAACAUUCGGUUGUGAUUAAGUGCUUAAGGUGUGACUUAGGGGGUGAAUAUACCUCUAAUGAUUUUACUAAGUUACUUGCUUCUAAUGAUACCAUACACCAAUCAUCGUGUGUUGACACUCCUCAGAUAAAUGGUGUGGCAGAACGAAAACACUGUCAUAUUAUUGAGACUGCCAACUCAUUGCUCAUGUCUGUGCAGGUCCUUAGUGUCUUUUGGGGAGAAGCAGUCCUAACUGCUUUUUAUGUGAUUAAUCGUAUCCCUAAUUCAUUGAAUUCAGGAAUGUCUCCUUUUGAGAAGUUAUAUGGUCACCUACCCGACUAUUCUUCCUUACGAGUUUUUGGAUAUACUUGUUUUGUUCGUUGUCCUCAUGUUGAGAGGAACAAGUUGGGGCUAAAAUUUGCUAUUUGUGUAUUUUUAGGGUACGGUGUUGGACAUAAAGGAUACCGUUGCUAUGAUCCUGUGAGUCAGAAGUUAUAUGUUUCCCGACAUGUCAUUUUUUCGAGCAUAUUCCUUUCUACUCGAUUCCUGCUACAGCUCACAAUGUAACGAAGUUAGAUCUUCUACAUAUUGAUCCUUUUGAUGAAGAUAUAAAGACUCGAGACCCAUCUAUGCCACCUGAUCAUUCAGCUCAUGACACACCCACCCCUUCAGAGAGUUCCUCGACUCCCCCUUUUCCUAAGUCUGCUCCUUCGAUUGUUGAAAUUGAAGAUCCACCUCCUCCACUACCCCUCAGGAGAUCUACCCGUCCUGUUAAGUUCACCAAGCUUCCAAAUUUUGCUUACUCUACAUAUUCAGGGCCAUUUGCUUCAUUUAUAGCGAACAUCCAUCAUCUGUCUAAACUUGAAUCAUAGAAGUUGUUUUAGAUCCUCUUUGGUAGAAUGCUAUGGCUGAGGAACUCACUGCUCUUCAUCAGACUCAUACAUGGGAUUUGGUUUCUCUUCCUCCUAGGAAACAUACGAUAGGUUGUCGUUGGGUGUACAAGAAAAAAAUAAAAGCUGAUGGGUCUGUUGAGUGAUACAAGGCCAGACUUAUAGCAAAAGCAUAUUCUUGAUAGUACGAUUUUGACUACGAUGAGACAUUUUCCCCAGUUGCAAAGAUGACGACAGUCUGUACUAUGAUUGUAGUUGCAUCCAUUCUACAGUGGAAGAUCUUUCAAAUGGAUGUCAAGAAUGCAUUUUUGAAUGGUGACCUCCAUGAAGAGAUUUAUAUGACUCCUCCACCAAGAAUUCAGCACCAUUCGGGUGAGGUUUGUCAGCUUCGCAAAGCUUUGUAUGGUCUCAAGCAAGCUCCUCAUGCUUGGUUUGAAAAAUUAACCAUAGUGAUUACCUCUAUUGGAUUUGUCUAAAGUAAUCAUGAUUCUGCUUUAUUUAUUAGAUGCUCGAGUGCAUGACGGAUUCUUUUGUCCUUAUAUGUGGAUGACAUGAUUAUUAUUGGUGAUGACCAUGGUGGUAUUGAGUCUUUGAAGCAUGAUCUAGCUCAUCGAUUUUCUAUGAAGGAUUUGGACUUGCAACGUUAUUUAUUGGGUAUUGAGGUGGCUCAGUCUAAGAAAGGUUAUCUUCUUUCUCAAACUAAAUAUAUAUAUCUGACUUGUUUACACGGGUUGGCCUCUUUGACAAUAGGACUGUUGAUACUCCCCUUGAAACCAAUGCACGAUACUCUCCUAUUGAUGGUGUUCCUUUGUCCGAUCCGAAUCUUUAUCGCAAUGUAGUGGGAAGUUUGGUUUAUCUCAUAAUUACUCGUCCAGAUAUUUCUCAUGCUGUUCAUGUUGUCAGUCGGUUUGUUACUGCCCCUACCUUUGUUCAUUGGGGAGCUGUACUCCGUAUUCUGAGAUAUCUUCAUGGCACUCGGUUUCAAACUCUCUUGUUUCCCCCCGACAUCUUCUCUUGAGUUACAUGCUUACAGUGAUGCUGAUUGGGAUGGCGAUCAUCAUGAUCGUAAAUCCACCACCGGAUUUUGCAUAUUUCUUGGAGAGUCUCUCAUUUCAUGGAAGAUCAAGAAACAAGACAUUGUCUCUAUAUCUUCCACGGAGGUUGAAUAUCGUGAUAUGGCUAUAAAUACAUGUGAGAUUAUCUGGUUACAGUGGACAUUUCCAGAUAUGGGAGUUCACAUUUCUUCAUCCACUCCCUUGUAUUGUGAUAACAAAAGUGCGAUACAAAUUGCGAAGAAUUCUGUUUUUCAUGAGCGGACGAAGCACAUUGAGAUUGAUUGUCAUUUUAGCCGUUAUCACCUACAGCUCGGGACCAUAUCACUUCCGUUUCUUUCAUCAACCUUCCAACUUGCGGGUAUUUUUACGAAGGCUCUAUCGGCUUCUCGAUUUCGGUUCUUGUGUGACAAACUCUCAAUGCUUAUUGUUGUGGCAUUGUGAGUUUGAGGGGGGAUGUUAGCCUAUAUAUUAUUAGCCCACUUGGUUAUAGGCUCUUUAGUCUUUAGCCCAUUAGAGUUUUGUCUAGCUAGUAUUUACAUCUACUUUAUUCUUUGUAGCCUUUAUGGUUUUUAUUGAGAACCUUGUAAUUUCUCUCUAUCAUAAUCAUAUGACAAUGUUAUCAUAAACCAGAUGUAAAAGUAACACAAGCCGUGGAACGAGAUGAGAUACCCGUAUGAGAAAGAGCCAUGCCAGUUGGAAUACGCUCCAUACAUGCUCUCCACACAAAACAAUUGCAUUUCAAAGGCACUGUAUGAAUCCAAAUGGUAGGAUUAUUAAUGGGGAUGUGACAUUUUUGUCAAUAAUCACCCUGAGAUCAUGAACAAAAAAACGUGCCAUUAAUUGAGAGCCGAAAAUUCCAUCAAUCGUCAUCCGACGACCAUAUAUGUUGAGCGAUCAACCCAUGAAGCCAAUCCAACUCCGGUAACUCAGAUUGUUUGUUGCGCUGCCGUUUCCAAGCCCACACCAAAUCUUUAGGAUCCACUCGCUCUGAAACAAAAUAACCUUUUCUUUUGUCUCAAAAAGACCGGGGCAUUUAGAAGCUAAAAAAUCACCGCUUAUCCACUUGUCUAGCAAAAACAGAGUUCCGGUCCCAUUUCCUAUACACAAUUUCAAUAUAUCAUCAAGAUUUACCCCCAUAUUUUUGCAAGUCAGGAAUAACCUUCAAGAUGUUACCCCAAAUACCAUGGAUCGAUUUUUUGGCCCAGUUCUUGACCGGCCUUUUGUGAGAAUUAUGAAUGCCACAUACCACUCUUCUCUAAAGGGCAUCUUUGUCAACCAUGAAAUGCCACAACCAUUUCACAAGCAAGGAAAUGUUAAGCGAGUAAAGAGAGCCAAUACCUAAACACCCUAAACAUUUCAGACCAAAAAUAACAUCCCAAGCAACCCAUUUUAUCUUCGUUUUCUUGUCGCUAUCUCCCCACAGGAAGUUUCUUCUGUUCUUUUCUUACCCGUCAAUCACCUACUAAGGAGCUUUAAAUAGCGAAAAAUAAUAUAUGGAAAGGCUUCUAAUUUUUUUGGCAGAAAUAGUCCUUAUACUUUAAUUUAUACAUAUUAGGCCCAAAAAAUAUUAAAUUUUGACUAUGCCCCCCCUGUUCACCAAGUUUAUAUAAGUUAUAUUUUUGGUCCCCCCAAAGGAAAGACUGAAGCUCCGCCAUUGCUACUAAGCACCGAUUUGACUAGCAUUUAAUGUAUUUCUAUUAAGGUUCACCAAAAAUGAUAUGCAUACAUUGUAAUUUUAAGGUCCUUUAUACUAAUUUAUAUUCUCUUUCAUGUAUUGGAUGUUGUGCAGGAAAGGUGUACUACUUGCAUGAUGCAAUGGGUCUUAACUUCAUAGGAUAAUCAAGGAUUUUAUGACAUAAGUUGGUGAUUUUCUAAAGGUUGGCUUCUUACCUUUAUUUUAUAUGCUUCACUGUUCAUUUUAUCUUCUACAUCGCUAUGACGCUAAUAAAUUUUUUGAGUGUUUGUUCUUCUUAUAAUUUUUUUGGCAUGCUUCACUAUGAGUUUCUGUGCUUCUUUCCAUCUGUUGACUUGUAAUCAUAUUUAGUGCUAAUUUUGCUUUUAACGCUUCUUUUUACUGGAUUUUUUUAUGUAAGGGCCUAUACACCUUUUGAGAUUAGUUCCAAAGAUCUAGGUUUGUCAUCUUGCGGAUGGUAGGUAAGAUCUUUUUAAUCUACUUUUUAUACAGUUAUAACGAUCUUGAUUUUCUUAUUCCAUGUUGCUAAAGAAGUAAAUUGCCUAUUUUAGGGAAAGUACAUUGCUAUUGCUUGCAAAAAGUUAAUGAAUUAUCUAAGUGAUGGGAUAAGUUUUUAUCUACUCUAUAAUCAAAUGAGUUUUUUUUUUUUUUUUUUAUAACAAUAUUUCAGUUUGUUACCCACUUUUUAUUGAGUUCUAAACAAAGUCCAGAACAAUAUUCAUAAGAAUAAGAGAAAUCUCCAGAAAAAGUCCUAAAAUUUUAGUCUAAUUUAUGAAAAAGUUUCGAAUUAAUUUUUGUUUACAGAAAAGCUACUGGCUAAAACUUUGAAAAAAAACUUUUUGGCCGGUUUCCUAGAUUUAGUCAGUAUUCUGUCCUUUUUUAUUAGUUUGCUCAAAAUAUUAUGACUUUUUUUGAAAAUUACAAUGGAAUUAAUGGAUAUUAUUAUUAACAAAUCAUUUAUAAACAUAAUUUUUUUUACUAUAAACAAAGAAAAUACAUUUGUUGCUAAUUUCUAGGAAUAGAAUAGUCGACUAUGUAUUUCUCUAUUGUUUGUUGACCACUUCAAAGUCGCUAUGUUCUUCCUAUGUAUCGUUGUGGGUAUCAUAGUGAGAAGUACUCUGUUAGGCGUGACCAUGCAAGAGUUGAUAAUAUUUAUUAAUACACAAUCAAUAAGUGUCUACUUGCUAUUAGGCAUGAUGUUAUAUAAUCACGUGUUAUUAGAAAAUAUUAUUACACGAACAUAUAGAUCUUUCAUUAUGUUCUUUUACCUAACUACACCUAACCUCCAAACAUUACUUGGUAACAACCAUAAAAUUACAUACAUUUAUCGAGAGUGAAAAGUAAACUUUGAAUGACAAUUUAAAUAGAUAAUAACCAUUCACUUGUUUCCAUAUAAAUUAUCAUUCACGAUUCACUUUUCACAUUUUACAGAUGCGUGUUAGCCGAUGGUUGUUAACAUGUAAUGUAUGAAUGUUGGUUUGUAGUUAGGUUAAACAACAUAAGAUGAACACCAACAUUAGAGGAAUGCUAACUAAGUUCAUCUCACCAUCAUACCCACAACAAUGCAUAAAAAGAACGUAGAGAGUUUGAGUGGUCAGGAAGCAAUAGUGUACUUAGACCACCAAUUUAUUCCUAGAAAUUAGCAACAAAUGUAUUUACUUUUUUUAUAAUAAAAAUAUUUUUUAUGUUUAUAAAUGAUUUGUUAAUAAUAAUAUCUACUGAUUUUAUGGUAAUUUUCAAAAAAGCCCUAAUAUUUUUGUUAUUAUGUAAUUUUUGAAAAGUCCCAAAAUUUUGAGCAAACUAACGAAAAAUGACAAGAUACCGGCAAAAUCUGCGAAAUCGGACGACCAGGGUUUUUUCGAAGUUUUAACCGGUAUUCUGUGAUUUUCUAUAAAUAAAAUUUUGUUUGGGACUUUUUUAUAAAUUGGACUAAAAUUGUUAGGACUUUUCUGUAGAUUUCCCUAAGAAUGACAAUGAAAUAUUGAGAAAUAUUUCCAAAAAGUAGCAAUAUAUGUUCAUGAUGAUCAAAACAACUUCCUGAUAAGACAUGUUACUAUGUUUUCUCAAUUACAUACAUUGUUAUAGAAAGAUCUAAAAUUAAGUUGUUCAAAUACAUGUAACUCAAACACAAUGUUGGCAGUUCUUGCAUUUAACCUUAUAUUUGAUUAUUUAGUUUGUGAUUUUUAGAUCUCUAUGGUUUUCAUUAUCCGAUUUAUGGUAUUUUUAUUACAGGUCUUGGAUUUCUAUAAGUGGCCACUGUUUGACAGCCCAAUUAAAGUUAUUACACUUGGGGAUAGCUCUUUUGUGUCUAGCUACCUACUUGCUAGGGCAUAUUAGAAAGUUGUUCAAAGUUCUUGUUAAAACUAUAGCUUUUGAAAGUUCACUAAUCGAAGGAAGUUCUAAAAUUCAAAAUGGAGGCAAUGGAAACUGUUACUCUUUAUGUUUAGUGAUCUAUUAAAAUUUUCAUGUGUUUGAUGGCUUUGCAAAUUUUCAAUUAAAUUUUAUUACAUCAAAAAGCUUUAGGCGUUUGCUAUGAGGAUAGUGGAAAAAGUAGUAUAGCUCAUGAAUAAUUUAUUCAACAUCGUUAAUUAUGGUUGGCAUGCAGUUUGUGUAUGUUUAAUUUAUUAUAACAAGAUUUUAGUAUUUUAAGAUUUUUGCAUCAAUGUGCCUAAAAGAGAUCUUAUUGAGCUUUUUUGUUCUUUUUAUUGUAAAAUCCUCUUGAGUCAUAAUAUCAAAUACACUUUUAUAGUUUGUAUUUAAAAAAACUAAAAAAACUUUUGUUUUUAUCAAUUCAUAAUUUUUUUGAAAGUAUUUGAUUAGUCAUUACGAAUUUGAUUUUUUUUAACAACAAAUCUAACAUACUUUUACAUUACUCCAAAUUUCACAUAUAUGUAAAAACCAGACUUAAACUUUCGACUUCAAGAAGUAAUGACAAUACUUGUACUGUUGGGCUAAAAACCCUUUGGUAUUAUGAUUUCAAAUUAUAAAUAAUGUUUUUUUCCCCAAUUGUGAUUAGUCGUUAGUGGUUGUAUGAAUUUUUUUUUAUUGCUUACCAACCCCUUUUAUACGUGGAUUUUGCUUUCGUUGAGAAAUCACUAAUUUUUCUAUUUUGUAAAUUAUUAUUUUUAUAAAUACUUGAUUAGUAUUUUGGAUUUCUAAUUAUAAAUAAUGUUUUUAUUUUGCGACUAUGGUUUUCCACGAGUUUAAACCUAGUAGUUCUUAUAAAACUACCUCUUCCCACUAAAUGAAGUCAACGUAUUUUUUAAAAUUACUUGGUUUUGAAUGGUCCUAGAGUUAACCUUGAAUCCAUCACAACUAUGACAUACAUAUUCAUUUUUUCCACACACAUUAUGACAUACACUCCAAGUUAUUGUUGGUAUGUAUUAUGCACACACUCACACCUAUAUACACACAUAAUUCAAGAACAAUCACAUUCAUAAGAUGUAAGGAUAAUCUAUUAUAAUAAAUGAAGGUUUUUUUUGUCACAUGUCCUCUUCUCAUUCAUUUGGACACAUGACAUUUUCUAGAAUUUGUAAAUAUUGUAUUUUCCACUUGUCAUUUUAUUGUAUUUUUCAUUUUAUUAAAUUAAAAUUUCACAUUUAAUAUGUAAGGUAAUAUAUAUGUAAAGUAUUUAUUAGAAAUUGUUUAUAUAUGUAAUGUAUUCAAUACAUUAAAGUCUCAUUAAUUUUAAUAAUUCAAAAAAAAUUUAUUUUUCUUAUAAAUUCAAACUAUUCAAAUUAUUAAAAUUUCAUAUUUAUUUUUUUUAAUUAAACCCAUGUAAUACACGGGUCUCACACCUAGUAAAUAAUGAAACACAGGUAGAAUUACAUACCAGCCAUUCUGUAUCACAUUGAACUCCUUGACGGUUAAAUUCUUUAACUGCAACUUGAGUUUUACCAUAACCAUAUCUCACAUUCUCAUAUAUAAAUCCUUUAUAAACACCUCCAAAUCCACCCACACCUAGAACUUGAUCCGACAUAAAUUGUUUGGUAGCCAUUCGCAUCUCAUCAUAUGUAAAAAUAUCGAGAUUGCUAUAUACAGGAUUUUGUCUAAGAUCAUUAAGAUCUCUGGUGAUCACCACCACACUUCUAGAACUUUUUAUAUUAGGCGAUUCAAAAAUACUUUGUUUUGGUGGAAUCUUCACAGGUUCUUUAGAAGGAAACUGUUGGUUUUUACCUGAAAUUUUCAAUUUCAACUUUCAAUAAGUAACCAUAGUUUGUUUCGCAAAAUGGCCAUUCUCUCGCAACCCUAUAAGCAAGCCAACACUAUGUUAAACAUGCAUUGAGACUUAUAUCAACCACGCAAAAAAUGUAAAUUUUUUAGCUUGCCUAAAGAGGUGAGACACAGACUUUCCAAUGACAUUUUCAAAGAGGUUUUUUUCAUGAUGAAACAUAUAUAUAUAUAUAUAUAUAUAUAUAUAUAUAUCUUGAAUGGAAGGAAAUGAAUCUAAAUAGUCACAUUUAAAGCAGGUUGGUUAUCAAAGUUUAGAUUAAAGAUAAAUAUCAAGCUCUUAUUUUUAUGUUCGCUAUCAAAUUUAUAUGAGAAUUUCAUUGAUAGUAUACAAUUGGUAGAACAAUGAUUAUUGUUAACGGCGUGAAGGAAUAUUUGCUGUCAAAAAAACUAAAACGAAGGGAUUACUAUGGGCAAAGAAGGGUCUAACUAGAUUCGUUAGGUAGGGGCACAACAACAAAGAGAUUGUGAAAUAGGACAAAGUCACGCUCCAAAUCCAAAGCUUCAACUAAAGUUAAAUGUUAUCAUUACAAAGGAUGAGACACUUUAUAAUAGAUUUUCACAAAGAAAGAAGGGAAAUUAAAACAGAAUCAAUAAAUAGUAGUAGUAUUGUUGUUGUUCAUAUAUGAGAGUUCCUGAUGGAAGGGACAAAGGUGAAGUUUUGACUUUUAGAACAACCAUUUAUGUAGAUACUUGGAUCUUGGACAUUGGUGCAUCUCACCAUAUGACAUACCCAUGUGACUUUUUUGAUUCCUUUAAAGAACGAAAUGGCAUGGUAAAGUUGGGUGAUGAAUGGAUGUGUUGUAUCAAGGGCAGUGACACGAGGAACAUUGAGUAUGUAAAGGUAUUCAAAUUACUUUAUUACUCUCAUAAUAAUGAAGGGAAACUGCAACAUCAUAUCUAGUUUUUAGAUGGCAGAUUAGUGAGAGAAACGGGGGUUAUAUCCUAAUCUUUUUGAGCAACAUGAUGAUAAAACAAAGUUAUGGCAUCAUCAAUUAGGGCAUAUGAGUAAGAAGGGUGUGUGUAUAUUGAAUAAAUAGGGCUCCUUGGAUGGAGAUGUAACUGGAAAAAUGAAAUUCUAUGAAGAUUGUGUCAAAUGAAAGUAACGCAUGGUGAAGCUAAGUUAUAUUCAACAUACAAACAAGUAAAUUCUUGAAUAUGUUCACUAAGAUUUAUAGGGUCCCUCUCCAGUGAAAUCACAUGGUAGAUGCUUGUACUUUGUAAGUUUAAUUUAUGAGUGCUCAAGAAAACUGUGGUUGUACUUUCUAAAAACAAAAGAUGAAGUCUUUGAACAGUUCAAGGAGUGGAAGAUUGUCGUUGAAAAACAGAUAGAUAAACAAGUCAAGACACUUAGAGCUGAUACUGUGUUAGAUUUUCCCAAUAAUUCAUUUAAUGACUUGUAUAAAAUAGGAAGGUAUGGUGAGGCACUACAUUAUUGGAAACACACCACAAGAAAAUGGAGUUGAUAGAACUGAUGAACCAAACAUUGAUGCAAUCAGCAAGAUGUAUAUGUUUAUUUGCUAAUAUAUAUAAAGCAAUUACAAAUAGAAGAAAUUAGUACGUCUUGUUAUCUGUUGAAUAGAUCUCCAUCAAUCUGCAAUUGAAUUAAAGAUUCCUCAAGAGUUACGAUCCAUUGAACCCUCUAGUUGUUCUAUUUUAUUUAUAUUUGGUUCUCCUACUUAUGCUCAUGUUAAUGAUGGUAAUUGAAGUUGAGGGAUAUGAAGUGUAUAUUUAUUGUAUAUACAACUAGAGUGAAAGGUUAUUGAUUAUGGUGUACAGAAGAAGGAAACACUCUAGAAAGGAAUCAAAUAGCAUGAGGUUUUCUCACCUGUCAUGAAACAUAAUACAAUUCUGGUUAUAUUAUCCAUGAUGAAUGCACUUAAUCCAGAACUUAAGAAACUUGAUGUCAAAACUACAUUUCUUCAUGGUGAUCUAGCAUAAAAGAACUAUAUAUCCCAGCCAUAAGGUUUCCUUGACUCCAGAAAGAUCAUGUAUAUUUGUUAAAUAAAGCUAUAUAUGGUUGAAAGCAGGGUACAAAAUAGUGAUACAAGAAGUUUGAUUCGUUUAUGGUUUCCUAAGGCUAUGUUAGAAACCAGUUUGUCAAUUGUGUCUACUCAAAGCAACUAUCUGAUCGUUCCUAUAUGUAUUUGAUGUUAUACGUAGAUAACAUGUUAAUUGUAGCUAAGAAUAUGGUUGAAAUUAAUGACUUGAAAUCUUUUUAUGAAAAGUAAGUUUGAGAUGAAGGAUUUAGGUAUAACAAAGAAUUAGUGGGUAUAGAGAUUCGAAGGGAUAUAAAGUAUGGAUGAUAUAAGUCUCUUAAGAAAGUUAUAUUGAGAAAGUUUUGAAAUCAUUCCAUAUUGAUCAGUCCAAAACUGUUGAAACUCUUUUAGCAGCAUACUUUAAACUUGAUUGGAGCACUAUACCAAUUAUAUAUAAGGAAAAUACAUACAUGAGUAGAGUUCCAUAUUCAAGUGUUAUUGGAAGUCUGAUGUAUUAUAUUGUGUUUAUGAUACCUGAUGUAACUCGUGUAAUUUAUGUGGUAAGUAGAUUUACAUGCAAUAUAGGAAAGGGUCAUUGGGAGCAGUCAGGUGGAUUAUACGAUACUUAAAGGGAACAACUAUGGUGCGAGUACAUAAAGUAAGGGUUGGUUGGCUAUGUGGACUCGGAGGACUACAAUGAUCGGGUGAAAAGAAGAUCAUUGACAUGUUAUAUAUUUAUUAAAUUCAAUUAUGUUAUAAGUUAAAAGUCAACACUAUACAUUGUUGCCUUGUCUACAACUAAAGAAAAAUGCAUGUCAACGAUUAACGGAAUAUACGAGGGUAUAUGGAUGCACGAUCCCAUUCGUAUAUAUUGUAUUGUGAAAGUCAGAGUACUUUGUGUCUUGCAAAAAAAAUCAAAUCAAUCACGAAAAGACAAGUCACAUUGAUGUUAGGCUGAAAUUCCAUUCAUGGUAUUGUAGAAGUAGAUAAGUUUUAUAUCCUAAACAUUGUCACAAAGGAAAAUUAAAAAGAUAUAUUGAUAAAGGAGUUACGAAAAGAGAAGUUCAAGAAAUUAAUGGAUUAGGUAGAUGUUCACAUGAAGUCGGGAAAUACAUCCCUUCAAGGAAACAUGACAAGAUGGAGCGAGAGUUGUUGGUUUGUUGAGUUUGAGUAUACUCAAGUUAAGAUGGAAAUUGUAAAUUUCACUUGAGAAUUCAAGGGCCGAAUGGCUAUCGACUCAAGAAAACUGUGGUUGUACUUUCUAAAAACAAAAGAUGAAGUCUUUGAACAGUUCAAGGAGUGGAAGAUUGUCGUUGAAAAACAGAUAGAUAAACAAGUCAAGACACUUAGAGCUGAUACUGUGUUAGAUUUUCCCAAUAAUUCAUUUAAUGACUUGUAUAAAAUAGGAAGGUAUGGUGAGGCACUACAUUAUUGGAAACACACCACAAGAAAAUGGAGUUGAUAGAACUGAUGAACCAAACAUUGUUGCAAUCAGCAAGAUGUAUAUGUUUAUUUGCUAAUAUACAUAAAGCAAUUACAAAUAGAAGAAAUUAGUACGUCUUGUUAUCUGUUGAAUAGAUCUCCAUCAAUCUGCAAUUGAAUUAAAGAUUCCUCAAGAGUUACGAUCCAUUGAACCCUCUGGUUGUUCUAUUUUAUUUAUAUUUGGUUCUCCAACUUAUGCUCAUGUUAAUGAUGGUAAUUGAAGUUGAGGGAUAUGAAGUGUAUAUUUAUUGUAUAUACAACUAGAGUGAAAGGUUAUUGAUUAUGGUGUACAGAAGAAGGAAACACUCUAGAAAGGAAUCAAAUAGCAUGAGGUUUUCUCACCUGUCAUGAAACAUAAUACAAUUCUGGUUAUAUUAUCCAUGAUGAAUGCACUUAAUCCAGAACUUAAGAAACUUGAUGUCAAAACUACAUUUCUUCAUGGUGAUCUAGCAUAAAAGAACUAUAUAUCCCAGCCAUAAGGUUUCCUUGACUCCAGAAAGAUCAUGUAUAUUUGUUAAAUAAAGCUAUAUAUGGUUGAAAGCAGGGUACAAAAUAGUGAUACAAGAAGUUUGAUUCGUUUAUGGUUUCCUAAGGCUAUGUUAGAAACCAGUUUGUCAAUUGUGUCUACUCAAAGCAACUAUCUGAUCGUUCCUAUAUGUAUUUGAUGUUAUACGUAGAUAACAUGUUAAUUGUAGCUAAGAAUAUGGUUGAAAUUAAUGACUUGAAAUCUUUUUAUGAAAAGUAAGUUUGAGAUGAAGGAUUUAGGUAUAACAAAGAAUUAGUGGGUAUAGAGAUUCAAAGGGAUAUAAAGUAUGGAUGAUAUAAGUCUCUUAAGAAAGUUAUAUUGAGAAAGUUUUGAAAUCAUUCCAUAUUGAUCAGUCCAAAACUGUUGAAACUCUUUUAGCAGCAUACUUUAAACUUGAUUGGAGCACUAUACCAAUUAUAUAUAAGGAAAAUACAUACAUGAGUAGAGUUCCAUAUUCAAGUGUUAUUGGAAGUCUGAUGUAUUAUAUUGUGUUUAUGAUACCUGAUGUAACUCGUGUAAUUUAUGUGGUAAGUAGAUUUACAUGCAAUAUAGGAAAGGGUCAUUGGGAGCAGUCAGGUGGAUUAUACGAUACUUAAAGGGAACAACUAUGGUGCGAGUACAUAAAGUAAGGGUUGGUUGGCUAUGUGGACUCGGAGGACUACAAUGAUCGGGUGAAAAGAAGAUCAUUGACAUGUUAUAUAUUUAUUAAAUUCAAUUAUGUUAUAAGUUAAAAGUCAACACUAUACAUUGUUGCCUUGUCUACAACUAAAGAAAAAUGCAUGUCAACGAUUAACGGAAUAUACGAGGGUAUAUGGAUGCACGAUCCCAUUCGUAUAUAUUGUAUUGUGAAAGUCAGAGUACUUUGUGUCUUGCAAAAAAAUCAAAUCAAUCACGAAAAGACAAGUCACAUUGAUGUUAGGCUGAAAUUCCAUUCAUGGUAUUGUAGAAGUAGAUAAGUUUUAUAUCCUAAACAUUGUCACAAAGGAUAAUUAAAAAGAUAUAUUGAUAAAGGAGUUACGAAAAGAGAAGUUCAAGAAAUUAUUGGAUUAGGUAGAUGUUCACAUGAAGUCGGGAAAUACAUCCCUUCAAGGAAACAUGACAAGAUGGAGCGAGAGUUGUUGGUUUGUUGAGUUUGAGUAUACUCAAGUUAAGAUGGAAAUUGUAAAUUUCACUUGAGAAUUCAAGGGCCGAAUGGCUAUCGACUCAAGAAAACUGUGGUUGUACUUUCUAAAAACAAAAGAUGAAGUCUUUGNGAGUAAAGUAAGAAACUUGACCCGAUAUCAACAUGAUAAGUGUUUGGUGUAGGUUGAGGCCCGACCCUACUCUAGUUAGGGUUAUGUUUUGUAAUUUGCUUUUAUAAUACAAAUGUUAGCUAUGGUUUCAAAUGUACUAUCAAUUUUCAAGCUCGUGAAUAGGAAUAUUCCAUCAUGUCAUGUGGAAAUAGGUCACAAUAUUCACUGAGCCGUGUUAGAAUUAUGUUCUAAUGUGUGAUUUAUUUUCUCAUUUUAUUUGUAACAACUAUCAUCAGAAUCAAGUCAAAAAAAUUAUAUUUUUUGUAACAAAUUCAGAAAAAAAAGAAGCUCUUAAAAUUGAACAAAUCAAAAGAACUAUAAUUUUGUGUGGAUUUUGUAAGUUUAUGAGAAUUAAAAUUUAUGUGCUAUGUUAUAUUCAUAUAACUAAUUUUCUUAACAACUAACUCACACACCCACUAACACGACUCUUAAAUCAACACCUUUGUCCAACAUGGAACUAGAACCCCAACCUAGGGGCACCUUUCGAACAUAUCAGUUUAACAUGACUUGAGAAUUGUUAACCUGAAUGGAUAUCGACUUGCAUCUGGCAAACUAAAGAAACCUACCACCAAAUAUAUUGACGAGAUAAGUGCUUAGAGUAGGCUAAAGUUUGUUAGGCAUGAAGUAAUAAACAAAAAUACCUAUCCUACAUGGUGCAUGGAAUCCUCCCUAUAUGGUAUGGACCUGCAUUUGCGUGGGAUCUAUGUAUCUGGAUGCAUCUGUGUUCAUGUUACGGUUACAUUUUGUACUUUGCUCAUAUAAUACGACUGAUAACCCUUGUUUCAAUUGCAUUGUACUAUCAUUUUCAAACUUGUGAAUAAGAAUACUCACUCCUGUCCUAUAAUAUAGAUCACAUUUAUUAGUCAUAUUAUUAUUGUUGUAUUGUCCUAGAUAUAUACAGCUCAUUUUGUAUUUGGAUCAUUUCCUUAUGUUCAUGUAUAUAUAUAUAUAUAUAUAUAUCUGNUAUAUAUAUAUAUAAUGCAUUGCACAUAAUCAAUCAAGAGAAGUCUCACGCUUUUAUGGUAUUAUAGCAAAGAAUUCUUUCCCCUUUUCCUCUCAUCAAAUCUCUCUGAAUAUUCUUCUCAAUCCCUCGAUUCUCUUUUUCCUUUUCCAUCAUGAUCCACCUUAGCCGUCCCUAGUUCACCAUCAUCUUCAACAUCUAUCAACAAGUCGAAAACCAACAACAAAAAGCAGAAAAAACCUUACCCUUCGCCAACACCAACAUUCGAGCCUAUGUUCUAAUCACUCUUGAUCUCGAGGAACUAAACUACAACGCCUGGAAAGAGCUUUUUCAAGCCUGCAACAUUACUUUUGGUGUUAAUCACCACUUGAUUAAUCCCACACCAAAGAAUUUUAUGAUGAUCGGUCCCAACUGGACACCCUCGACAACACCACUCUCUGCACCAUAUUUGACAAAAAUGGUAUCCACUUAUGUUUCCCGUGUCCAAAAGCAUCCCAGCAAAAUGGAAAUCCGAACGUAUGCUCCGGACUAUAAAUAACCUCAUCCACUCCAUUCUAUUCCAAUCUCAUCUCCUGCCAACAUAUUGGGUGGAGACUCUCCACAUGGCCAUACAUCUCCUUAAUCGCCUUCCAUCGAAAUCCAUUGAAAAUCAUACCCCUUACUUUAAACUCUAUCAAAAAACCCCACAUAUUAGCACCACGCUCCACUCCUUUCAUCUUCCUUGGAUACAACGAUAACCAUUGAGGUUUUUGAUGCCUUGAUCUUCACACUAAAAAUAUCAUUAUCUCGGCACGACAUAUUUGAUGAACGUGUUUUCCCUUAUGCAUCCAUGACACGUAAUGCUCCACCUUCCUAUCAUUUUCUCAAUAUUUUUGAUCCACGCAAUUAUAUGGCAUCUCGGCUCCUUAUGUCUAAUCCAUCAACCACCACCUCUCACAUACCAACUCCUAUCACCAGGCAAUUGUCACCCAUCAUACCUACAUCAACAUCUCCAUCAUCACCCACUUCUGUCACUUUUUUCGCCCGAUCCAACCUCUGCUCCAACUAGUCACUCUACUCUGGAAGCACCUAUGGUGACAACCCCCACUAUCUCGGUUCCCCCACCACUUUCAUCAACCCCUCUAUUCAUAAGCCUUCAACUCAUCUUAUGCAUACUCGAGAUCGGAGUGGUAUUUACAAACCCGUUAACCGUUUAAACCAUCACACUUCCGCUCUCUCUACAAUUCUAAAAUCUCAUAUCCAAUCCCUUCAAGACCCUAACUGGAAAUCCGCUAUGCAUGGAGAAUAUAGGGAUCUUAUUAAAAAUAGGACUUGGGUUCUUGUAGCGCCUCGUACAGGGUCAAUGUGGUGUGCUCUAAGUGACUUUACAAACACAAAUUUAAUGCUGAUGGUUCCCUUAGCAGGUAUAAAGCAUGACUUGUUGCUAAUGAUAAAAACCAACAGCUAGGCAUCGAUUGCAAGGAAACUUUCAUCCAGGUUGUCAAACCAGCCACCAUACGUACUGUGCUCAUCCUGGCUGUCUCCAGAAACUGGCCCGUACAUCAGCUUGAUGUAAAAAAUGAUUUUCUUCAUGUUCAUUUCGCAGAAACAAUUUAUAUGUACCUGCCUCUCGGUUUCACAGACAAAUUGAAAACAACUCAUGUUUGUUGCUUAAAAAAGUCCCUUUUACGGCCUGAAACAUGCUCCCCACGCUUGGUUUCAACGUUUUGCAUCACACGCCAUGAGUCUUGGGUUUCAACAUAACAGAUUUGAUUCAUCUUUAUUCAUUCUGCACCAUGACAAUUACAUGGCGUACUUACUGAUUUAUGUCGAAGAUAUUAUUUUAACAGCUUCCACCCCCACCCCAUCUGCUCUGCCACAUCAUCACCACUCUCGGUAAAGAAUUCUCCAUGAGCGACUUGGGGGACUUGAACUGCUUUUUGGGGAUUUUUUUCACAAAAUCAUCGUGAGGCAUGUUCUUCUUUCAAUAGAAAUAUGCCUCUGAGAUUCUUCAGCGAGCCAUCAUGAUUGACGCCAACUCUAGUCGUACCCCUUUGGAUCUAUUAGCAAAACUAGGGAAUGGUGGCACGCCUGUUUCAGAUCCUUCAUUAUACCACCACCUUGCGGGGGCACUCCAGUAUCUUACAUUUACUCACCCCGACAUUUCAUUUGCUGUCCAACAGAUCUGCCUAUACAUGCACGAACCACAGAGAGCCACACUUCCACGCUUUCAAAUGCAUUUUGAGGUAUAUUUGGGGAACUCUUGAUCAUGAACUCCAAUUGUACUCCUCACCCUCCAUGGCUUUCACUGCUUAUUCUGAUGCAGAUUGUGCCCUGUCACUCGCCGGUCCACCUCAUGAUUUUUUGUCUUUCUCGGCGAUAACCUCAUCUCUUGGUCGUCCAAACAAGAACACAAUGUGUCCCGGUCCAGUGCAGAGGUCGAAUAUCGUGGUGUCCCCAAUGCCUUCGCUGAGAUAUCUUGGUUAAACAACUUGUUAUGUGAGCUUCACUUACCUCAGCGAUCAUCUACUCUCAUCUAUUGUGAUAAUGUGAGUGUCAUUGACAUGUCGGCCAACCCCGUUCAACAUCAACGAACCAAACACAUAAAUAUUGAUAUUCAUUUUGUUCGCGACAGAGUUAUGUCCCUUCGAGAUAUCAGUUUGUUGACAUCUUCACCAAAGGACUCCCAUUUCUGUUGUAUGGUUUGUUCUCGUGUAUUCCUAACAAUACGCCAUUAAAACGACGCAGAAAAAAUUGAAAAGAUUCAUCCACUUAACUUUUGAAAAAGACAUAAAAGCCAAUUCAUUUGGGAUCCUUGAAAUCCACUCUUUUUCCUAUUCAAAUCUCACCACUUUGUCUUGUGGUUUCAAUGUUGAACUUUUUGAAAAUGUUGCAAUGUCAAAGGUCUUUCACUCAAACGCCUUGAUCUGCUUAACCUUUAUUAAAAUGCUUUAAAUUAUAUCCCCAUUUUGUUUAAGAAAUAUUUGAAAGGUGUGUAACUAUCAAUCAUGUUAACGAGAAGUGAAUUGGUCUAGUUUACAGGAAUAAAAAUAGAUGAAGCAAUAUAUCUGUAAGGGAGCAAGAGUCCAGAACAAAACACAGAGUAAAUGAACAGAGAAUCAUACCAUGGAUUUCCCCAUUUGACUGGAAGAGAAACAUUGGCAUCUUUCUACCGAAUAUGGUCAUGCUUGCAGGGUGCAAUGUAUUACUGGUUUUCUCCUGUAAAACUAGUAUAGAUUCGAGUCCGACCAUAACCUCAGCCAUUGUAGGACGUUGCUUUGGAUGGCUAUUUAAACACCGUUCUGCAAGCCUUGAGAACUCCUUUAAACCUUUAGUCGAUAUUCUCUCCCUUAUAUUAGGAUCAACAAUUUGCUUUAACCUUCCUUCUUUCAUUGAUUCUUGAGCCCAUCUUGCUAAACCCCAGUGAUCCUCAUCAAGACUUUCAUCCACUGCUCGUUUCCCACAAAGUACUUCAAACAUUACUACACCAAACGCAUACACAUCGGAUUUUCUUGUCAACCUACCAGUUGAGAAGUAAUCUGGAUCUAGAUAUCCGAAUGUUCCUUUCACAACAGUGCUUACGUGUGUGAACUGUUGAUUUGUUGGACCUACCUUGGACAAUCCAAAGUCAGAAAUCUUAGCUGCCCAUGUUUUAUGUAACAAUAUAUUUGAGCUUUUCACAUCACGGUGUAUAACUCCAUGCUUAAUUCCUGUACCAGUGUGAAGAUAAUUUAACCCACGAGCUGCCCCUAUGCAUAUAUUGAGUCGCAGCAUCCAAGGUAGAGGAGUUUGAAGUUUGUGGAGAUGAUCUUCAAGGGUUCCAUGGGGCAUAUAAUCAUAAACAAGGAUUCUUUCACUCCCAUCAGUGCAAUAACCAAUCAAAGACACCAAGUGACAGUGCCUUAACUUAGAAAGCAUCUCAACUUCU